rnacentral:lncRNA from 1 species
GUAUAUUUUUGUCAUCAUUUUUAGCUGACAUGACACAUUUUAUCAAACUUAUUAGCUGACAUGAGCUUCAGUUUAUGUAAUAAACACAAAAAGUGUCAAAAAUAUGUUAAAAUUGAGUUCAAGGGAAUAGGACCCUUGUGAAGUCGAAGUGUGUUGUAGCAACUUUAGUCAUAGUUCAGAGAUACUGAAUGUUUAUCUCAGUUAAAACUUUGGCUCGAACAUAUAAAACUUCAAAUCCAGAAUCCACCCUAAAAGAACAUCUCUCUUGAUUUUAUUUUAUUUUUUAAACUUAAAAUAAAGUUAAUUGAAUCGUUGCUCAAAUUAUAAGACAUGAUUAGCGAGUGGGUUAUUCCACAUUUCCACUAUCCAAUUAAUGGUCAAUAAAAAUUUCACAAGCCAUAACAACUACCAAAGUACAAUGCAUUAAUUUCUUUCAUUAAAACUCCAUUAGAUUCUUCUUUAAAUGCAACACACAAUAAAACAUGCAAUGAAAAGCUUUACUCCAUUAAUUAUGCUUAUGUAAUAAACAACAAGCCCAACGUGACCUUUUUAAAGUCUAUUUUUGAUUUCUUAUUUGUUCGAUAUUUUUAUUAGAGUCUGAAUAAUUUUGAAUUUAUGUAGAAAAUUAUAUAUCCACGGUAAAAGUGCUCCUUGACAAAUUAAAGAUGAUGAGUAGAAUUUAACUUGAAAAUUCUAAAUAAGAAUAAGAAAAUACUUACCACUCGAUCACGAUCAUUUUCGAUUGAAGCAUAUAACAAUACUCACUCAAUUCAGUUUUACCUGUCGCGUUUCUCUUUGUUUGACUAUUCUUUGAAGCUAUUCAUAUUUUACAAUUAAAUCUAGAUGUUUGAAAAUUGUAACAUAAAUAUAAUAAGUUACAAUUCUUCUCAUUAUUAUGAUGAUAAAAUAUAUCUUAAAAUGAAACAUGACAAAUAAAAAUGAACGGAGAAAUUAAUUUUUAUGCACUCUCUCCCGUUCAAAAUACUUAUCACCUUUCUUUUCAAGCAAUACUAGAACAUUAACCACAUUUUAAAAUGCAUAUUUUUUAUCAUAUUAACAUGAGAAAAGUGGUAUUUUUGUGAUAUCUAUGAUUCUUAUAUAAUUAGUUUAUAGUAUUAUUUUGUAGAUGUCUUGUUUUUUCUUUAUUAUAUAGCAGUUUAUCUGUCCUGAGUUGGGAUCUAUCAAAAAUACCCUCUCUACUUUUUAUGAGGCAGGUAGUGGUAUGGCCCGCAUAUACUUUACCCCUCGACCCCACUUUAUAGAAAUACACCACAUAUGUUUUUGUAUAUUAAUUUGAGAAAAAUUACAAUUUAUACUACUACUUUCUAGUAUUUCUUCCGUCUCAUUUUAUAUGUCGUCAUUUUUAUUUGAUUCGUCUAAAAAAGAAUGUCAUUUUUCUUCAUUUGAUAAUUAUUUAAUGAUAUUAUUCUCAUUUUAUCCGUAUUGGAUCCCACUUAAUAAAAAAAAAUAACUAAAAAGUAAAUAAUAAGGUAACUUUAAAAGGUCAAUUUUGUAAACUAUACAAAGUCAUCACUUACUCCCUAUGUUUAAAAAAAAAUGACCCUUUUUUUUUUUUGGUAAUACUUUAAUUUCAACUUUCUACAUGACAUAUUUAGGACCACAAGAUUAAAAAAUAUUUUGAUAUAUUUUGACACAACUUUAAAUUAACACCACAAGAUUCAAAAGUCUUUUUAUUUUUGCCAAGUCAAAAUAGGUCAUUCCUUUUUAAACAAAAAAAAAAUAUAUCUUAAAUUCCAUGUCCGGCUAAAAAGCAAAGCAAAAAAUGGAACAGAAGGAAUAUUAUUUAUGAAUUUUUGAGAAAAGUAAUUAUCUACUCUCAAUUUUCUACCACCAUAUAUUUCCCUUUCAGCUCAAUAUAUAACGAAGCUCAGUCUCAUCAGUGUCACAGUCCCACACUUUAUUUUCUUCCCUUCAAGUCCUUCAACAAUGGCAACUUCCACAUCCUCAAUUUUCUUCUUUGUACUCUUAUUCACCUCAGUUCUUUCACGAACAUCUCUGUAUAGUCCCUCAAGAACAACAAACCUCGACGUUUCUUUCUCCAUUAAGAACGCCCUCAAUGCUUUAACCCCAGUCGAUUCGUCUCUGAAAUCUGAAGAGAACAAAGUUUCUUCAUCGUCAUCAUUUCUAUCAUUAAGUCUGCAUCUUCAUUCUCGAAGAGCAGUUGGUGGUAAUUUACAUGAAAGUUACAGCUCAUUGAUGCUUGCUCGACUUGAACGUGACUCAGCACGAGCUAAAUCACUUCAAAAACGAGUAGAUCUGACAGUACAUGAUAUCAGGAGAGCGGAUCUCAAGCCAGUUGAGACCGAAUUCUUCCAAGCUGAUCAAGAAAUUGAUGGACCAAUAAUCUCAGGGACAAGCCAAGGAAGUGGUGAGUACUUCUCACGUAUUGGAAUUGGUCAUCCUGUAAAGCAAGUGUACGUGGUACUAGACACUGGUAGUGAUGUUAGUUGGAUACAAUGUGCACCCUGUGCUGAUUGUUACCAGCAAGCCGACCCAAUCUUCGACCCAAAUCUGUCAAAAACGUACUCAUCUUUGUCAUGUGAGACAUCACAGUGUAAGUCACUCGACGUCUCACAGUGUCGCAAUGACACUUGCCUAUACGAAGUGUCGUAUGGCGACGGCUCGUACACAGUGGGGGAUUUUUGUACGGAGAGCAUCACGUUCAGUGGUGCUUCUUCUUCUGUUGAGAAUGUAGCUAUUGGUUGUGGACAUAACAACGAAGGUUUGUUCGUUGGUGCUGCUGGUUUAUUAGGCCUUGGCGGUGGUUCGUUAUCGUUCCCUUCGCAGAUAAAGACUUCUCAUUUCUCGUAUUGCUUAGUAGACCGUGAUUCGGAUUCUACUAGCACUCUGGAGUUCGGCGGGGCCACCCCGCCGAAUGCAGUGACAGCUUCGAUCAUACGCAACUCGAAGCUGGACACUUUUUACUAUCUUGAUUUGACUGGACUUAGUGUAGCAGGGAAUUUGCUUCCGGUAUCUCAGGAAGCAUUUAAAGUGAGCGACAAUGGCGACGGCGGUGUGAUUAUAGACUCCGGUACGGCGGUAACGAGGUUGCAAACGAGCGUGUACAACACGCUCCGAGAUGAGUUCGUUAAGGGUACGAGGCAUUUAAAGUCGACUAACGGCGUCGCGUUAUUCGACACGUGUUAUGAUUUGAAAGCAAUGGAAAGUGUUGAGGUGCCAACGGUAUCUUUACAUUUUUCUAACGGUAAAGAAUUGCCGUUACCGGCUAAGAAUUACCUGAUACCUGUUGAUAGUAACGGUACGUUCUGUUUUGCCUUCGCUCCGACGUCGUCGUCGCUAUCGAUUAUUGGUAAUGUACAACAGCAAGGGACACGUGUCAGUUUCGAUUUGAAAAAUUCACUCAUUGGAUUCUCAUCUAACCAAUGCUAGUGGUAGUACUAAUAGGUCUAAUUUGUUUAUUUCCUGUUUUACCCCUUAGGUAGAAAGUAAUUUUCAGUUUUAGACUGGUUGGGCCCACUUGGUAUAACUGUAACGUGAUAAAGUGGGUCAUGGUUCAGUGUGUGUGUGUUAUUAUUGCAAUUUCAGUGGGGUAUUGGGUUUUUGUAUAGUAAAUUGUUGAUAGUAUGAGGGGUAUUAAUGGCAAUCUAUGGAAAAAGAAAGAGAAGUUAUGUUAUGAAUCUUUUUAAGUAAAAUUUAUUCUUUUCGAAUCUCACUUUAUGGGCGGGUAUAUCAGUUGUGGACUUCUUGUUGUAUUAUGAAUGGCAAAAUUAGUUUAUGAAAAUGUGAUUUGAUCAACUAAAUUUUAUUUGCUCAAAUUCAAUUGAAUCCGCUAAUUUGAUACUUUUACCAAUAAUUAGUUACGUGAUUAGAUUUGACUUGGUCCUAGGUGAAAAAUUAUAGUGCUCUAACACUCAUUAAACAUGAUUCCUUCGUCCUAUUUUACUCGUUCAAACUUGAUAUUGCACAUUGAUUAAGAAAAACAACUAAUAAUAUUAAUACUUUAUCAUAAUAUCCUUAUUAAAUGAUGUUUACAUUUUAAUUUUAAAAAAAGAAAUUAAUACUAAGGAUAAAAAAGGAAAAAAAUGAUCUUGUCUUAAUUAAUGAAAAAUGAUAAGUAAAAUAAGAAAUCAAAUUAGAAAAUUUAAGACGAGUAAAAGGAGAUGGAGAGAGUACGUAAUAGGUAUAUUUAUAUAAGAAUGUACAAAAAUUGGUAUAGAAUAAAAAAAACGUUUGUGAAAUCAAGAAGAUAACUAAAUGCUUUGAUUUUUAUUCAUGUUAAUAUGUAUUUGAACCUCUCAAACAUUCACGACUUCUAAAUAUUGCGUCUUUAUUGGAUGUUGGUUAAAGUUUGUAAUCUCCUAACUUCAUUUGGACGCGUGGCUCAAUGUAGACAUGGUGCUGUUGUCAGUUGAGCUGAGGGUCAAUCGAAAAGAUUUUGUAUACAUUAUUCUACUCAUAUUUUACUUCGAUAAAAUUAGAUAUGUUAUUGCUUUUAGUCGGUGCUUAUAUCAAAAAUUAUCUCUCCGUUUUUUUUAAAUUAGAAUAAAUUUGCGUACGCAUCAUUUUACUUAAAUCUCACUUAAGAAAUAACAUUGGGAAUGUUAUUAUUAUUGUUGUGCAUGUGAGUAUUUUUCUUGUAGCUCAUAAAAUUGAUGAUUGUUGUGCAUGCGAGACUUUUUUUUAAUCUCUCAUGUGAAUGGAAAAUGAAGAGAAAAAUGGUGGAGGGGAGGAGACACCGAUUUGGAAAGUGUACUCCCAAAAUUGAAAAGGUCACUAAGUCUCCCACAUUGGUGGGAGAAGGGAACUUUGGAGUGUUUAUAAUAAUGAACACUUACUCCACAUGAUAAGUGAGGCAAGAAAAUAGAGAUGUCUCGCCCCGUCGCUCGCUCGCUCGCUGGGUUCGUCUUCGAAAUUGGAUUGAUCGAUGAGAUCUAUCUUUUUGGACAAACUUUAUUUGAAUUCCGAAAAAUACCAAAGGGAAAGCGCAAACGCAGUAAAAUUAUUUUUCUUUUUCUAUAGUGUUUCGAACCUCUAUUUAUACAUACAUGCAGAAUUUUCGAACUGAUGCAAUACUUCAUCGAACUGGUGCCACUGUUUCUGAACUGGUGCCACUGUUUCGUGAACUGGUACACUGUUUCGUGAACUGGUAUGCUUGUUCGGGAAAAGACAUGUUCUUUGGAUGAACGGACAUGAAUUUUCAGAAAACACACACCAUUUAAUUGAACCAAUGCCACCUUUUCAAAGAGGCAUGUUAUGACUAUAUAAACCUGUUUUCAUUCACAGGUUUAGAUACGAAAUUUAUAGAAUAAAAAAAUAUUCUUCCUGUCUUUAAAAUUACUCCAUGUGAUCAAUCGUUCUGUGCGUUCGAAGAUAUUUCAGUUGUUUGAGGUACCGCUACAAUUGAUCUGUUUGACCAUUUUAUACCGCUACAAUUGAUCUGUUUGACCAUUUUAUCCUGGGAGGAAAAAUUUCACAACCUCGGGUACAGUGAGUGAAAUUAUUUCCUUAAGAAAACUUCGUAAAUUCGGACGACUUGGUCAUUUCUGUUUCAUCUUGAUUUCUGAAAAUAAAAUACACUUCUAAGAAAGAUCACUUUGAUCUUGUGUUGACGGUAUUUUUUGUACUUCAUUGAGUUCUUAUUUUAAACUUGAACUAGUUGAAGUUGUUGUUCUGCAUAUACAGAUUUUGUGUACUCGUAUAAGGAAAUAACAAUCUUAAGGAAAUAAUUUUUAGAAUAUGUAUAGCUAGUUUUUGGAGAUUAAAGUUUUAACUUUCUACUCCGCCUGAACUUAACUAGUGAUUUGAAGUCAUAAAAACUUCAUCAUGAGUUAAAGAUCAUUCGAUUGACAAUUGGAAGUCAUAAAAACUUUAUUGUCAACUGGAAACAAGAAGAAAAGUUUAAAGUUGCUUAACUUUAUAAGUAGUAUUCUGAAAAUACUAAUUAUUAUUGUCUUAUGAUGACAGAAAAAAUGACUAACGAAAGUCAAAUGCAACAUGCGGCUACGAAUGUGGGGGCAACUAGAAUUGCUUCAAAAAGUCGAGCAAAUGCUCUGCAACCAAUGACACCUGCGGAGAAGCUCGAAAAAUUUGCGGGCAUUGACUUUAAACGAUGGCAGUAAAAUAUGCUUUUUUACCUCACCACUCUAUGCCUUCAAAGGUUCACUAGUGAGGAUGCUCUUGAGGUGCCCGAGGGAACCUCGGACAAAGAGCAUUCAUGAUUGUAGAAGCUUGAAAACACUUGGACUUCCUUUACAGAAAUUAUAUAUUUAGUGGUCUCCAAGACGACCUCUACAAUGUUUACAGUGGAACUAAGAUAUCAAAGAAAUUGUGGAAGGCACUAGAACGAAAAUACUAGACAAAGGAUACGGAAAUUAAGAAUUCUUUGUUGCAAGGUUCUUGGACUAUAAAAUGAUAGAUAGCAAAGCGGUUGUCCCUUAAGUGCAGGAAUUGCAAGUAAUCAUCUACGAUCUUCUAGCGGAAGGUUUGAUUGUAAAUGAUGCUUUUCAAGUAGCAGCGUUAAUUGAGAAGCUACCACCGAUGUGGAAAGACUUCAAAAACUACUUGAAGCAUAAACGCAAGGAGAUGACUGUCGAAGAUCUUAUUGUCCGACUGCGUAUUGAAGAGGAUAAUAAAGCUGUCGAGAGAAGGUUAAAAGGAAAUUCUGAAAUUAAUGGAGCACAUAUUGUGGAAGAUAACUAAAACAAUUCUAAGAAAAGGAAGAAAGUUGAACAAGGAAACAAUCAACCCAAGAAGAAAUUCAUGGGAAAAUGCUUCAAUUGUGGCAAGAUUGGCCACAAGUCCACGAUUGUCGAGCCCCGAAGAGAGGCAAGAAAAAGGAUCAAGCAAAUAUGAUUGACUCCAACAAAGGAUGCAAUGAUCUUUGUGCUAUGUUUUUAGAAUAAAACUUGGUGGGAAAUCCUCGCGAAUGGUGGAUGGAUUUUGGUGCCACACACCAUGUAUGUGCCAACAAAGAGUUGUUUUCAUCAUUCGCUCGGACAAAAGUAAAAGAAAUGAUCUACAUGAAUAAUUCCACUACUUCUAAGGUAGAAGGGGUAUGAAAAAUAUGCUUGAAAAUGACUUUAGGAAAGGUCUUGACACUUAACAAUGUCUUGUAUGUUCCAUAGUUACGUAGAAAUUUAAUUUCUGUUUCACUUCUAGACAAGAACGGAUUCAAAUGUGUAACCAUUUCUGGAAAAAUUAUAAUUAGCAAAGGAGAAAUGUAUGUAGGAAAAGGCUAUUUGAUGGAAGGCCUUUAUAAGAUGAAUGUAAUGACUGUUGAAAUAAAUAAAUGUUCAAAUUCUUCUUAUUUGCUUGAGUCUUAUGAUUUAUGGCAUGAACGUUUAGGCCAUGUUAAUUACAAAACGUUACGAAAACUAAUUAACUUAGAAGUUUUGCCAAACUUUGAGUGCAAUAAAACAAAGUGUCAAACGUGUGUGGAAUCAAAGUAUGCAAGGCAUCCUUAUAAAUUCGUUGAAAGGAAUUUCAAUCCCUUAUACUUAAUACAUACUGGCAUUUGUGAUAUGAAGUCAACACCAUCACGUGGUGGGAAAAAGUAUUUCAUAACUUUUAUUGACGAUUGCACAAGAUAUUGUUAUGUCUAUCUGCUAAAUAGUAAGGAUGGAGCAAUAGAUGCGUUUAGACAAUAUAAAACUGAAGUUGAAAAUCAGUUAGAUAAAAAGAUAAAAAUGAUAAGAAGUGAUAGUGGCGAAGAAUAUGAAUCUCCAUUCGCCGAACUAUGUGUAGAAUUGUCACGCCCUUAAACGAUAGUGACGGACAAGAACCGUAUACACCUACUCUACAGACACUUUAUGACGUACACGAGGUGAUGAGAUAACAACGAGCAGGAUAUUCAGUAAGAGUCACAUAUAUACACGAGGGGUUACAUUUACAAAACUAUACAACACUACACGAUGUCCAUGAAAUCUCUAGUCAGUUUAACACGCUAAACUACAAGUGACUAGUUGGCAUCAGGCCCGUCAUCCCCAACCAGAGACCUGUACAUAUAAUCAAAAUACUUGGCAUAGACUGGCUCUAGAGAGAGUUGGAGCUCACCAAAAUAUUCGUUGAAAACAACAAUGGAGCCUAAAGUGGACGUCUGCUAUCCUGAGGGUUUAAGCCUACAUUAGCAAAAUAUAGUGGGCCUGAGACGUCAGUACAUAAACAACAUGUACUGGUACGAAAGCAGACAGAAUGACAGCUGGACAAAUACAGAAGCUCGUAUGAGUCAAAUGGUAAAGUGAAAAACGUUUGAGCUAAUAAUUAACACCUAUACGAUAUGAAUUUAUAACUUAUGCACCAACCUUGUUAACAUCAUAUAUAAUAUUUAGAAAAGCAUUCAUCAUAACCUAGGACCUAAAUUUUGCCUAGGUGAUGCACUUAUCCUAAAAGUCGUACAAAUAAUAACAAGUGGCCUUCUGAAGGCAAUCUGAGGCAAGUAUAAAGCAUAUGUUGCUCAUAUGCUCACUGCUAUGAUCCCAUUUGUGUAACUGUAAUCGCAGUCUGUAUCCAGGUACGCCCUGCCCAGGGGCUCACUAUAAGGGUCUGCCCGCAGGUCAUAUAUGUCUUAUAUUGGCUCAAGUCAGGAGAAACCUGUACAUGACGUUUCAACUAACUUCAAAUACAAAUGAUGCCACAAAGGCAGGUACGCCCAGUGGUUGGGCUUGCAAUAGUGGUCUGGUCUCGAUCCUGUGCACAGAAUCACAUAGAGCGGUAUGCCCAGCAAAAUCUAUGUACCCUCCCAUCAUUAAUGUUUAUCAAAUAAUGCCUUGAAGUCCUAUGACAUAUGAGUUACGAUAAUGAUUAUUUAGCUACCAUAUACAAGUGAAACUAUAUUGUUACCAUUUACUCUUAAUGUGUAAGGGCUUUAAAUAUAGAAACUUAUGAUAAUAUAGAAGUGUCAUGGAAACUUAACACAAAGAGGGAAAGGUAGAUACUUGUAAGCUUGAUGGUAGAGCGAAGGAAUGAUAGGUAAGGCAAUAUAAAGAUUCUACUUCCGUAUUUCAUGAGAAUUAUCCUAACAUUAAUAGGAAGAAGUACAUGAUGUAGGGUGGUGUCUUAGCAGCGGGGGAGGGUUUAGCUUGACAUACCUUAGUACUUUAGUAACUAUGCUAGUAAUUCGAGCCCUAAUUAGUUUAACCCGCGGGAGUAUAGCCUUUAUCUUUCCAAUCACCAACUUCCUUUAUCCAAUAGCCAAUUCACUAGCUACAAGGAUAACAUACAGGUCCAUUAGUAACCCGUAGGAACAUUUAACAAUUCAUUUCAACAUUUUUCGCUCACGCCCGAAGUUAAUCGAAUCUAUUAAUAAGCAUUCGGAAUGAAUCCUUUAACUUGUCAACUCACACAAUUCGAUAUUAAAGAACCCCAAUCACUUAUUUAUAGUCAAUAUUCAAAAAGUAAUAGAGAAUUUACCUCUUGAAAUACAACCUCUUGAAAUUCUGUAACUUAUAUACUUUGUAAGGACUAAGAAAUUUUUCACCGCUUACAAUCUCUUCUUGACAACUUAACUAAAUUUUCCUUGUUGAUAAGAAAAAAAAGAAAGAAGCAAGAAAGAUGGAAAGGAACAGAGGACCAACGAAAUGACAUAGCACCACCUAAUAGUUGUUAUUCCCUGAAAUUCACUUCCAGUGAAAUGAAAAGUCCCCCCCUAAUUUAUGCAUAUACCACUAUUUUAUUAUUAUUAAUAGGGAAAUAAUACAAUGGGCCCCCAACUUUCUAGUAUUAGCACUUGGUGCAAUUAAGGAAGCAUAACUUAAUUUUUCUUACCAUCUUGGCACAAUAAUACAAUACACAAAAUACAAUUCCUUGCCAAAAGUGCUAAAUUAAUUUUUUUUUUUAGGUGCUACAAAAAUGGAAUCGUCCAUCAAACUACGGCCACGUAUUCACCUAAAUCUAAUGAAAUUGCGGAACGAAAAAAUCGAACUUUGAAGGAAAUGAUGAAUGCCUUAUUUAUAAGUUCUGGUUUACCGCAAAACUUAUGGGGAGAGGCUAUCCUUACAGCCAAUCGUCUACUCAACAGAGUUCCCCAUAGUAAAACGCAAUCCAUUCCUUGUGAAAAAUGGAAAGGAAGGAAACCCAACUUAAAAUAUUUUAAAGUGUGGGGGUGUCUAGCAAAGGUCCAAGUUCCUAUGCCCAAAAGGGUUAAGAUAGGACCUAAGACAGUAGACUACGUGUUUAUAGGAUAUGCUAAAAGCAGUAAAGCAUGUCGAUUUUUGGUUCAUAAAUCCGAACAUCCGAAUAUAAAUGAAAAUACGGUAAUUGAAUCAGACAAUGCUAAAUUCUUUGAAAAUGUUUGCCCAUAUAAAAUUAGACAUGAACAAUCUAGUGGAGGAUUUAAACGACCUCGAGAUGAACCAAGUGAGAAUGUACAUAAUGAAGAAAAUCCAAGACGUAGUACGGGUCAAAGAACGUCUACUUCAUUUGGAUCGGAUUUUGUAACAUUUCUCUUAGAAAAUGAGCCUCAAAUAUUUAAGGAAGCGAUGACAUCUUCGGAUUCAUCCUCUUGGAAAGAGGCAGUCAAUAGUGAAAUUGAUUCAAUCUUAAGCAACCAUACGUGGGAAUUGGUUGAUCUUCCUCCUGGAAAUAAACCUUUAGGUUCUAAAUGGAUCUUCAAACAGAAGAUGAAAGCGGAUGGUACUAUUGACAAAUACAAGACAAGACUUGUAGUAAAAGGCUUUAAACAAAAAGAAGGUCUUGAUUACUUCGAUACAUACUCACCAGUAACAAGGAUAACAUCGAUUCGAAUGUUAAUUGCCUUGGCUGCGGUAUAUGAUCUUGAAAUCCAUCAAAUGGAUGUGAAAACCGCUUUUCUAAAUGGAGAAUUGGAGGAAGAAAUUUGCAUGGAACAACUUGAGGGUUUUGUGGUUCUAGGGAAGGAGAAUAAGAUGUGUAGACUUAUUAAGUCAUUGUAUGGACUAAAGCAAGCACCUAAACAAUGGCAUGCGAAGUUUGAUCAAACCAUAUUGGCAAACGGGUUCAAGAUAAAUGAAUGUGAUAAAUAUGUUUACAUUAAAGAUACUCUGAAUCACCAAGUCAUUGUUUGUUUAUAUGUGGAUGAUAUGUUGAUCUUCAGCAGAGAUAUUCCUGACUUAAAUGUAACCAAACGAAUGCUCGAGAGCAAGUUUGAUAUGAAAGACCUUGGAGUUGCAGAUGUGAUCUUAGGUAUAAGAAUCCAUCGAAAUCCACAAGGGUUAGCAUUGUCACAGUUUCAUUAUAUCGAAAAAGUACUUGACAAGCUCAAGUAUAUGGAAUUCGGUAUUGCCAAGACUCCAUUGGAUGUGAACAUUGUACUUCGAAAGAAUGAAGGUGAAAGUGACUUGCAAUUGGAGUACGCAAGAGUAUUGAGAUGUUUAAUGUAUAUAAUGAACUGUACACGACCAGACAUAGCAUGUACUAUUAGUAAAUUGAGUCGGUACACGAGUAAUCCCAACAAAACUCAUUGGAUGGCAAUAAAAACAGUUUUGGGGUAUCUUAAAUACACUCAAGAUUAUGCUUUGCAUUACAAUAAAUAUCCUGCGGUACUUGAAGAGUAUAGUGAUGCAAAUUGAAUCACCGGAUCGAACGAAGUAAAAUCCACAAGUGGAUAUGUCUUUACUAUCGGUGGAUGAGCAGUCUCUUGGAAAUCAUCCAAACAGAUUUGUAUUGCUCGCUCUACAAUGAAAUCUGAAUUUAUCGCAUUGGAUAAAGCCAGUGAAAAAGCAGAAUGACUCUGAAAUUUCUUAUAAGAUAUUACUUAUUGGCCCAAGCCAGUGGCACCAGUAUGUAUACACUGUGAUAGCCAAGCGGCAAUAGGUAGGGCAGUGAGCAUGAUGUAGAACGGUAAAUCUCGUCACAUAGACGGAGACAUAAUACCGUUAGGGAACUUCUCUCUAGUGAAAUUAUCACUGUUGACUAUGUAAAGUCAAAGGAUAAUGUGUCAGAUCCACUUACAAAAGGCCUAUCUAGAGAAGGAGUGGAAAGAACAUCCAAAGGAAUAAGUUUAAGGCCUAGGACAAAUCAGCAUGGCGGUAACUCUAACUAGCAGACUGGAGAUCCCAAGAGCUAGGUUCAAGGAUAUCACACAAAGUUGUGUCUAACAGGUUCAACAUUGUCAAUUACCCAACUCAUUCUCAUGAUGUAGACAAUGUAUAGUAAUCAAGGAUAAGACUUAAAGUGAAAAGUCUUUUAAUGAUUAUCUAAAUUUGGCAGAUUUGACCAAAUAGUUUAAUCUAUAGGAUUGAACGUUUAGAAAUCACUUAUGUGAGGGCGAAGUGGAAGCCGCUUCAAGGAGAAUGUUAGUAAAUGUCUAUUCUCUAAGCUCUCAUUAAAUCGGGCCGUGUUCAUGUCUGAAAAGAACAAAACCGUGAGAACCAUAAACGUUAAAAGGAUGGUUGUGUGACAUAUAUUGUCUAGGUGUACAUUAAAUCUCUACGGUUCAAAGAUAUCAAAUCUACCGAUUGACCGAGUGCAUCCGAUGCAUGUCCACUACGAAAAGUUCAAAGGAAAACCCACUUAUCCAGAUGCAAUCGGUCUUUGCUUGAUGAUCACAUACUUGUUCGUAAAACUUUUAUGAAAAAUAGCCAUUCUCCAUUCAUGUGGGGGAUUGUUGAGUUCAAAGUGUGAAUGAAAAAUGGAGAGAAAAAUGGUGGAGAGAAGGAGACAUCGAUUUGGAAAGUGUACUCCCAAAAUUGGAAAGUUCACUAAGUCUCCCACAUUUGUGGGAGAAGGAAACUUUGGAGUGUUUAUAAUAAUGAACACUUACUCCACAUGAUAAGUGAGGCAAGAAAAAAGAGAUGCCUCGCGAUAUCGUCGUCGUUGUCGUCGCUCGCUCGGUUCGGCUUCGAAUUUAGAUUUGGAUUUAGAAAAUGAUAUAUCCAUGAGAUCUAUCUUUUUGGACAAACUUUAUUUGAAUUAAGGAAAAUACCAAAGGGAAAGCGCAAACGCAGUAAAAAAAUAAUCUUUUUCCUGUAGUGUUUCGAACCUCCAUUUAUACAUGCAUGCAAAAUUUUUGAACUAAUGCAAUACUUCAUCGAACUGGUGCCACUGUUUCGUGAACUGGUGCCACUGUUUCGUGAACUAAUACACUAUUUCGUGAACUGGUACACUGUUUCGUGAACUGGGAUGCUUGAUCAGGAAAAGACAUGUUCUUUGGAUGAACGAACAUGAAUUUUCAGAAAAGACACACCAUUUAAUUGAACUAAUGCCACCUUUUCAAAGAGGCAUGUUGUGGUUAUAUAAACCUGCAUUCAUUCACAGGUUUAGAUACGAAAUUUACAGAAUAAAAAAAAUUCUUCCUCUCUUCAAAAUUACUCUGUGUGAUCAAUCAAAAUAUUCUGUGCAUUCGAAGAUAUUCCAGUUGUUUGAGGUACCGCUGCAAUUGGUCUGUUUGGCCAUUUUAUCCUGGGAGGAAAAAUUUCACAACCUCGGGUACAGUAAGGAAAAUUAUUUCCUUAAGGAAACUUCGUGAAUUCGGAUGACUUGGCCAUUUCUGUUUCAUCUUGAUUUCUGAAAAUAAAAUACACUUCUAAGAAAGAUCACUCACUACUAAAAAAAUCGGUAAAACCGACCAUAAUUUGAGGUCGGAAAAAACCGACCACACGUGGUCGGAAAAAACUGACCACACGUGGUUGGUUUUAUAUUUUAAAAAAUCAAAAUAAUUAUUACAAUAAUUUUAAUAAUUAUAAUUAUUUAUUUAACAAACAAAAAUUUUUUAAAAAAAAAGAAUAAAACCCACCACAAGUGGUCGAUUUUUUAAAAAAAUUUAAUUAAAAAAUAUUUAAAUAAACCAACCACUUGUGGUAGGUUUUUAAAAAUAAUUUUUAAAUUUAUUGUUAAAAAAAUAGAUCACAUCGAUUUUUUUAAAAAAUUUAAUUAAACAUUAAUUCGAUUAAGUAUGUUGAUAACAUCUUGUGUGCUUUAGUUUGAUUAAUUAUCUAUGCUGUUAUGUAUGAGGAUUCUCCAAUUUUAUUGUAUUAUUGGGGAUUUCUUUUUGUUUUCUUGAAUCUGUUAUAUGUGCGUAUGUUUUGACGUAGUUCAUAUCGAAAAAUUAAACUAAUAAGGUAUUUGACUGUGUCUGCUCCUUACCGACAGUACUAGAAAGGAGAACAAAAUUCUAACUAGAAAGGAGGUGUAGAUAUGAAGUCUGGGACUAAUUAAAAACCACACACAUGAUUAUGAAUAGUUGUAAAUUAAUUUUUUUGGUGUUAUUAGUUGAUUUUAGUUAAUUGGUUCCUGGACCACCAGUUUAGGGCACAAAGCAACACACAACUUUAAUUAUUUUUUCUACCACUUGCCUAAUCGUUCAAAUUACCUUUUUUGACUGACAAGAAUUAUACAAAAUUGUAGCCAUGUGUUAUGUUACUAUAAUUUUAUUUUAAAUUCUAUAUAUUGUUACUUUAAAAACGAAAAAAAAAAGACUAUCAAGUCAUUCACGGAAUAUUUAUGGGUAAAAUUCUUUAAAAUGUUAAAUUUCUAGUUUUGAAAAUAAGACAGGUUCUAAGUUGAUUGAAACAGGGAUAUGAUUGGGGAUUUAGAAAAGCUUGAGCAAGAACAAUUCCAUCUAGGGGAUCUGAUUGGAACUAUUCUGAAAUAACUAUUUAAAAAUAGUUAGUGUAGUGACUUGAAAUGUGUACACUGACUUGAAAAUGGUUACGUAUAGUGACUUGAAAAUGUGAACUAGUUAAUUGAAAAUAUUUAAGUGUAGUGACUUCAAAUGCUAGUACAUGACUUGAAAAUGGUUAAGUGUAGGGACUUUAAAGGGAAUUUUUUUGUUUUAAGGUACUUGAAAUGUGGACUUGUAUUUUGAAUUUAGUUAAGUGUGGUCACUUGAGAAGUGAGUGUGGUCACUUGAGAAGUGCAUUAGUGAGUCGUAAAUGUUUAAGUGUAGUUACUUGAAAGGUGGAAUAGUGCAUUUUGUUUUGAAUUUAGGUAUUUGAAAUGUGAACUUGCGUUUUGAUUUUAGUAAAGUGUGGUCACUUGAGAAGUGAACUAGUGACUUCAAAAUGUUUUUAAGUGUAGGUACGUUUUUUCAUUUUGAAUUAAGUUUAGUUUAGUAACUUGUGAAGUGAAUUAGUUACUUGAAAAUAUUUAGCUGUAGGUAUUUGAAAUGUGAACUUUUGUGACUUGAACUAAUCACUUGAAUUUGAUUGAUUGUGUAGAUGAAAUCUGAUUAUAGUUGGAUAUAUCAACGAAAUAUCAAUAAUAGAAUGGAUGAGGCUGAGAAUGAAGUUGUGGAUAAUGAAUUAUAGUUUUUAGUAUUUUGUAUGUUUUAUAGUUUGGAUUUGGAACCUCGAUAAAUUUUGUAAAUAAUGUUUGUAUUCAUAUGGUGAUUGGUUGAUUGUAUAUUAAAUAAUUGGUGGGAAGUAUUGUAGAUAAUAAUCAAUGUUUGUAAAUGAUUGUGGUCGGCUAUAUUGUAAAUAAUUUGAUUUUUAAUUUUUGUAUUUUAAAAAGUUUCAAUAUUCUUUUUUACAAAAUUAUCAAAAAAAUCGACCACAUGUGGUAGCUUUUUUAAAAAAAUUUAAUAUUUUUUUCAUAAAAUUAUCAAAAAAACCGACCACAUUUGACAGUUUUUUUAAAAAAUUUUGCUUUUUUUUUAAACAAAAUUAUCAAAAAAAAACGACCACAUGUGGUAGUUUUUUUAAAAAUAAUUUAAUUAAAAAAUAUUUAUAAAACCAACCACAAGUGGUUGAUUUUUAUUUAUUUUUUUAAAUCGACCACUUGUGGUCGGUUUAUUUUGAAUUUUUUAAUUCUUAAAAUCAUUUUUUCUAUUUUAAUAAAAUAGUAAUGAAUUUUAAAUUAUUAUUUAAAAAAAAAAAAAUGACCACUUGUGGUCGGUUUUUAAAAAGCCACCACAGGUUUUCCGACCACAUAUUUUGGUCGAUUUUGUGGUCGGUUUUUGGAAAAAAACGACCACACGUGGUCGGUUUUGGUGGUCGGUUUUCUCCUUUUUUCUAGUAGUGACUUUGAUCUUUUGUUGAGGGUAUUUUUUGUACUUCAUUGAGUUCUUGUUUUAAACUUGAACUAGUUAAAGUUGUUGUUCUGCAUAUACAGAUUUUGCGUACCCGUAUAAGGAAAUAACAUCAAGUAGCCAAAAUCAAUUUUUUACACUUUUAACCACAUUUAAUUGAUUAUGAAACAUUAUUUUUGUUACCUCAAUCAAUAUAUCAAGUUUGAACUUUAAAUCAAUGUUCUCUUCAGUAGAAUGCGCUUAAAUCUCCAUAUACUACACUAAAAGAGAUGUUUAACGAUAAUUAGUUAAGAUAAUAACUUAAUUGUCGCUAAAUUAUAUUUUUAAAUAUAAUUAUUAGUGCCAAUUACGUUGAUUUGCCUGAAUAGAAUUUGUAAAAUGAAUCAGUUUGGACUGUUGUUUAUUUACCUAACCUCAUGUAUUGGGUUUUUUGGGCUCAUUAGUUCACCUUUAUUGUGCUCUAAUUUGUCCACAUGAAAAACUGACUUAUCCAUGCAGCAUAAUUAUGAUGGGCCACUACUAAAACUAUACUUUUGUUGGACAGCUGAUGAGUGAUAAUAAUAGGGUUAAUGCAAUUUUAUGAUCUUAAAUAAAAGAUAAUGUAAAAUGUAUUAAAAUAUUAUUUUAUCUUAUAAUUCUAAAUAUGUCAUGUGCAAUGCUGAAGGAGCUGUCGAACCUUCCUCAUAGGAGGUUUGCAUACAUCUGAUCCCCUUAGGGACUUAUUACAUUUGUCCCUUCAUCACACUAAAGUAGUGUCCGGCUUUGAUACAAUAUUUUUUACAAUUUAAAUUCAUAUCACAUAUUGUGAAAGUGGUAAAGGAGAGGGUGCAGGGGAGGGGGGGGGGGGGGGGGAAUUGCUCUUUUUCGAGUAGAUAGUUGAGUUGCUUCGACAGAUAGUCGACUACAAAAAUAGUAAUGUAAAGUUCAGAGAGUAAAGUGCUGAAAAGAAAUGUCACCAUAUAUUUUAUACUGAUUGGAACCUCUAAUAGGUCUUAUUUCAGUUUCCUUGGGUUGUAAGAAUUCUACUAGCUCUUUUUUUUGUAAAUCAAAAGUUACAAAAUUUGAAUUAAGCUUUUUCGCAUUAACUCAUACUCGUUUUCUUUUCUCUCUUUGCUACAGAAGCCUUACCAAUUAUGUGUUUCAUUUUUCUCUUUUUGAGUAACAAUAGACUACAAAAUAAUACAAUACUUAAUGAAAUUAGAUAAUAAAGCUAGAGAAAGUUGAGACAAUGUAUAUCUCUUCCUUAAUCUUCCAUCCUAUAAAUGCUAAAGAUAGAGUAACUAGCCGUUGGAACAUCUGAAAAUAAAAAGACAACUCAAAAGAUUUGAUCCUUAAAAAUGGAAUAUGAGAAUGUUAUUUUCAAGAAUAAGGUUGAUCACACUAAUGAUCCUUAACUACCCAAAAUUCCCUUUCCAUAAAAGUGCAGCGACUUUAAUGCUUGCUACAUGAUUUGGGAUCCGGCUUUUCUCCAUUUCUAUUGUCUCUAUUUUCUCCAAGUUCUUACUUGGAUGAGAGACACGUGGCAUGCGUUAGAAUGAACGGUUAAGAUUUAAUAACUAAACUAAGAUUCUAAUCAUGAUAUGAACAAUAAAUAUUUUACCUAUUUGCUUCCAACAUUUUAGUAAUUCAACAAUUAUUAGAGUUACAAAAUAUUUUAUCCACAAAUAUACUUUUAAGAAAAAAUUCUCUCUAUUUCUAUGUUUUUUUUUCUACUUCUAUUUUCAUACUCACAGUCUAUCUUCCAACUUCUUUAAGUUAAUUUUUUAUUUUAAUCAUUUGAUACUUUUUCUUUAAAAUUAGCUAUGAGUAUAAAUGGUGAACUUCAAUAUUUUUAAUAAUCAAGUUUCUUUUUAGUUAUGCGAAUUGAAUAUUUUUAUUAUAAUAUCAAUAAUGCUCGUAUUAUUAUAAUAAUUUACUAUUCAAAGAUUCAUAUUUAUGAAAAAAAGUAUUGUCGUCGUGAUUUUAGCUUUGUCAAUUUUUCUUAUAGAUAUUUUUGGGGGAGGGGGACAAAGAGAAAAAAUGAUAAGAGUUAAGAAAUUCGGAAAAGGGAGAAAUAAUAAAGUUUUUAAAAUGAUAAAGGUGUAUCUAUUAAUUUUUUUAACCAUAAAAUAUUUUUUUAAUCAUAGAGUAAUUUUUUUUUCUAGUUAAUCAUGGUUAGGGAAAAAAAAGUAAGAAGAGAGAAUUUUAAAAAAAUAUAUUUAUGAAUAAAAUAAUUUUGUACUUAUAAUUGUGGAAUUACUAAAAAUUUUGAAAGCAAAUAUAUAAAAUAUUUAUUAGUCAAAUCUUAACCAUUCAUUUUAACUUAGGUCGUGUGUCUCUCAUCCAAGAACAAACUUGAGGAAAAUGAAGAGAAUGAAAAUGGAGAGGAGCUCAAUCCCAAGAUUUGAAACUUAUUUCCUUUGAUGUAGGAUGCUAUAAUUAAUUCUUGAAGGAGUGAUAUAUUUCUUUUUACCGCAUGAACUUGAUAAGUUUUCUUUUUUGCUCUUGAGCCAAGAAUUCUUGAUUAUUUAUAUCACGUGCACCCUUCUUCAGAACAUUACUAGCUUAAAAAACUAAUAAUCCUUUUUCACUAUUUAUCCUUAUCGUCACCAUCCAACCCUCUACCACCUUAUCACAUAGUGUGUUUUAGUUUAACUAGUUUAGAUAGUUAAUAGAACAAAAAUGAUUUAUUUGAUAUUAUGAAUGAUCGAUGUGUUUUUUUAUAUUACAUUUCGACUUUUUUUAUUGUCUUUGGUUCUUAGCCGAGGGUCUAUCGAAAAAAAAAUUACUUUUUAGGAGGUAGUGAUAUGAAUUAUGUACAUUUUAUCCUUUCCAAACCUUACUAUCUGAAAUUACGUUGGAUUUUUUGUUGUUGUAUGAAUGAUCGAUGUGACUCAAUGACCUAAUUCAAUGUAUUUAUACUGCUGCGAAGUCUUGGUGAAGUCUCCUCUUAAUUUUGUUUUAUUUAUAAAUUUAUAUGUCCACACUGACUAAGACAUUUUAAAUAUCUUUUUCGAUAAUGAACUUUCAAAUUAAACUCUCUCUACAUCUUCACUGUCCCAAUCAAAUCAUAUCUAUAUGUAUUCUAAGUUACUUUCAUCAUUUUAAUUUAUUCGUUUCAUUUUAAAUUGUCCAAAAAAAAAAAUAGAUAUAGAAUGUAUUAAAAUAUACUUUAUUCUUGCGAUCAUAAACAUGUCAUGUAGAAAGAUUGAAUUAAAGAAUUGUAAAAAAAAAUGAAUUUAAAAAAUUUUAAAAAAAUAAAACGAAAAGAAUAUAUAAUUAUUUUUGUGGGCGUUUUAGAACGUCAUUUUAAAAUGUCCCUGUCCCAUGCACAACUAAGAGUAAUUAGUAUUAAUUAAUAUAUACAGACAGAAAUGUUAUAUUUACAUUAAUAUAGAAAUUAAAGCUACCAACAUGAGUUGUGGUGUGGUGGAUGAGGUUGUUCCAUCCUUAAUCAGAGGUCGAGGGUUCGACUCUGGAUAUGGAGAAAACUCUAUUGGGAGCGUUGCAUUGGGCCGUAAUGGGACCUGCAAUGCGCGAGGAUUCGACCUUGGGUAUGGAGAAAACUCUAUUGGGAGCGCUGUCACUGUAAUGGGACCUGCAACGCGCGAUCUGAAUUAAUCAGAGUUUCAAUGCGGACACCAAACACCUUAUAGGAAACAAAGAAAAAGAAAUUAAAGCUUCUAGAAUUUGUUGUUAUAUGCAUGUUCCGGUCAUUACACGUUUAGAAUAUUCAUGUUAUUAAAUUUUGUAUAAAUAACAUACUCUCUCCGUCCCAUUUUAUCCGUCUCAAAUUUUCUAAUUUGAUGUCCCAUAUUUUACUUAUCAAAACAAGACAAUUUUUUUUCUCAUUAUACCCUUAGUGUAAUUGGUUAUUCCUUGUUAUUAGCAUUCUUGAAAAAUGUUACAAAGAGGAGUACCAUUAAAAAUAUAAAUGGUGUUUUGAUAUUAGUCAUCCAUCAAUAUUGGAACUAACAACAAGACACAAUUAAGAGGAGUAAAAUGGUAAAGUUACAUUAUCAAUUAUUGUUUUCUUAUUAGUUGGUUCAUCCCAAUUCGGGACAAAUAAAAUGGGACGGAGGGAGUAAAUACCAACCCUUUUGGAAGUAAUUACACUUUCUCCCACUUUUUAAAUUACUUUACUAUCUCUGCCUAUUAAUAUACAUAACAUAGCUGACAUAUACAUAACAUUCUGUAUAUAUGUUGGGAUUUUUGUAAUAUAUUUAGGGAGUUGCGAUUUUUUGUAAUAUUGGAAACAUAAGUUAUGUUUUUGUGUAAUUUUUAGUUAAAUUUAGGCCUAACCAAUAGAUAAUCCUUAAAUUCAUGAGUAAUUAAAUUUUGUAUGAGAUAGUUCGAAUUAUAACUUGUUUCAAUUGAGUAAUUGAACACAUGAUGACGUUUGCUAUAAAGUAUUUUAAUUUUAUUGAAAGUAAAAAAAAUUGACUUGAAAUAUGUUUUGUUUUUUUAGUUAUUCUCAUUGACUUUGCAAGCCGUAAACCUCAGGCUAGCUAGAUCGUCCCAAUUGAGGCUAAUGUAAUACUAUAAUUGAAGGAAAUGUAAUAUUCAUUAUGAUUAACUUAACUACUUAAUAUAUCCUCGAAAAUACACACAAAAAAAAAUUAGAAAUUGAAUUAAAAAUAUAUAAUAGGAACAUUUGCCAUGUGUUCAAUUGAAAAUAAAAUCAGUUCGAAUAUCUAAAUAAAAUUUACCGAAAAAUUUAGAAAAUUGUGCAUAAAUUAAGCCUAAAUUUUACCUUGCUUUUCUCUUUUAAUUCAGUUUAGAAAGAGAAGGAUCCUACUUGUUGAUCAUUAUCUUUUCCCAACAAAUCUCCACAUUUUUUAAUUAGAACAAAACAAUUGGGAUUUUUUGCUUUAAAUAUACUGUCAAUGAUGGAUUCAACAUGUUUAACGCAGAAACUAUGAUAAAUAAUCAAUAAUAAUAAUGUCAUGCAAGACAAAAUAGAGUUGCUCGAAUGAUAAAUAUUUUUUACUUUCAAUUUAGAUAUUCUGGGUUUGAAUCAUAAAAAAAGCAGAAAAGGUUAAAGCUCUUAGAAAGGGAUAAAAAAAAAACUCAAAAUCCCUGAUAUUUUUAGUUUAAGCAAUUAGAAUAGCGAUGACGCUUAUUUAAGUUAAUUCUUUAUCAUUAAUUCAACAUAAUUACCAACUUAAAGUAUCAUAUUUCUAUUUUGUACUACUUUAUUACUCUAUUUAAAUUCUGAAUUAUUCUCUUUAUCGAAAAAGAUGAAACAUUAUUUUAUCAAGUUGAGGUAAAAAAGUUAUGUAAAAAGGAAAAAGUCAUUUACCUUUUGUUUCUUCCUUUUGGACCAAACAAAGAAGAUAUAAAGGAAAAGCUAUAACAAUUUUUUUUCCCCUAAGAGGGGAAACCAUUUUCAUUUUCCACUUAAUAAACUAAACAUAGGACUAGUCAAAGUGGUGAAAAGAAAAUAAAAUUUUACCAAUCAAUAGUGAGGUGGAAUGAUAAGCAUUCUGUCAUCUUUAAUUAAAAAUUUUGAACUCAAAUUCUACUGAAGAUCAAAAGUUUGACAUUGGAUGAAAAAUCGAAAAGAAAAAGGAUUAAAUAUUAGGGUAGGAUGGUUUAAUUUAAAGAGUAUAAAAUCCCUAUAAGCUAUAUAUAUAGUAGGUGUAGUUAUUGCUAUCAAUUUUAUUAAUUUGAUCAUAAAUUAGAAGAUUUAGACCAAGAACAUGAACUACUUUAAAACAACCAAAAAUUGAAGAAAAAACUCUAACUCAAACACAACAUUUGGUGCAAUUAAUUAUGUAUAAAUAACAUAAAUACCAACUCUUUUGGAGGUAAUUACAUUCACUUUCAUUUUUUUUAUUACUUUACUCUCUCUCUGUGUUAAUAUACAUAACAUAGCCGACAUAUACAUAGUAUUAUUCUGUGUAUAUGUUGGAAUUUUUGUAAUAUAUUUAAGGAGUUGGGAUUUUUUGUAAUAUUGGAAACAUAAGUUGUGUAUUUGUGUACUUCCUCUGUUUCAAAAUAGUUGACCCUUUUUGACAUGACACUUCCAUUAAGAAAACAUUUAUUAGGGAUUUAUUUUACCAAGUUAGUCUAUUUUAUCAAAUUAGUCUUAUUAAUUAUGCUUUAAAAAUAUAAAUUUUAGUAAAUGUACUUUGUUUAGUCAUUUAAUGUUGAGGAUAGUAUUGGAAGAAUAUAACAAAAUACUUUUGAUUUCAUCAAAAGGGAAAACUAAAUUGAAAUAAAUAUUUUUAGAAAAAGGGUCAACUAAAACGAAACGGAAGGAGUAGUUUUUAGAAUUCUUACUUAAAUUUCCAACUGUAAAAAUUAAAUUAAUUGAUUUGGUAUAAACAUUUAAAUGCAUUUAAAUAUUAUAUUUAUAAAGUCUUUUGUCAUCAUAUCUUAUCCAGUGACGAAAAUGAACCUUGACCAGCCUAUGUGAGAUAAAAAUAUUAUUUUUCUCUCCGUGUUAAAUUAUGUAUCGCUGUUUGAUCGGAUACGAUAUUUAAGAAAUAAAUAUUAACUUUGUUAAAGUUACAAAAUUACCCUUCUUAAAGAAAUGAGUAAUAAUAUUUAAAAUCAAGUUGGAUCAUUUUUAACUGAAAAGACAAAUAAAAAAAGGAGUAAUAGUAUUUAAAAUCAAGUGGGACCACUAAGGAUAAAAUUUUAAUUGUGUCUUUAAAAAUUUACCAAAUAAAAAAAUAUGACAUUCUUUUUAAGACGAACUAAAAAAAAUGACGACACAUAAUAUUUAACAGAGGGAGUACUAUAAAAAUGAUCACCAUCCUAUUGACUUUAUAAAGGUGAAAAAAAAACAUGUUACUAACCUUAAUCAAAUAUAUCAUAUUCGAAUUUUAAAAUGUAAUCGCCUUUUUGAUAGACGUAAAUGCUGUUGGGGUAUGAAAUUCAUCCGAAUCUUUUUUAUCGAAAAAUUACAUUAUACAUACAAAGUUAAUUUUUAUAUUUAUUUAAUAACUAUUAAAUUCAUUUACUUCUCGUAUAUUUAUUUUUUCAUAUUUUAAAUCUACAAUUGAUAAAUUUGGCCUUUGGUCUAAAGUUCUUAUGCUUUAAACGCCAUUUUAUAAUAUCAAUUUGGGUGGAAUUGAUACCUUCUUGAUAAUAUAUUGGACCAUUAGUUUAAAGAAUAAAUACACAUAUAUUUUAUUCAUCACGUAAGGGCAUUUUAUUUUAGAAAAUAUUCUUGCAUUAAACUUUCGCGUAAAAUUAAUUAUUCACAUUCUAUAUUUGUAUCGAAUUAUUAGUCAAUAAACGACAUUUAUCAUUUAUAUGCACCUUUAUCUCUAGCUAUCGUCAACUCUAUCACUAAAUUAUAGUAACUUAAUAUAAUAUGUUGUCAAUAUCAAAUUUGAAUAAGUUCUUUUUACAAGUUUUAUAUAUCGUAGUAUCUUUUUGUUUUAUUAAUGAUUGAGAUAACAUAUAAAACGAUUUACUAAUGAAAAAAAUAUGAAUAGUCUAACUAAUGAGAAAAUUGAAUAAUUCAAAGGGCAUCUUUUCCCUCUUAAUUCUUUUGGCUUUUUGAUUAUUGUGUUUUUUUAGCAACCUCUCCACCUUAAUUAAUAGCAAAGUCAAAAUUUGGCGAAGAUGAUUCAUAUUUUAAUGAUUCACUUUAGUUGAACGAUGGAUGGUUUAUCAGCAAUAAUAUUUCUACCUUUACAAGAGUGAUUUGUAAUAAGCAAAAAUGGAAAAAAAAAAAAAAAAAAAAAAAAAAAAAAAGAACUUCCAUCAAAAAUCUUAAUAAUUCAACUAAUUGGCUACUAGAACUUUCAAUUCCACUUAAUUAACCAUAUCAAUUCAUCUUAUAAUUUACUGCAGCCAUAUAUCUAUAUCUAUAAUGUAUAAUAUAUAUCUAUAAUCUAUAUCUAUAUCUAUAAUCUAUAAUCUAUAAUCUAUAUCUAUAAUCUAUAAUCUAUAAUCUAUAANNNNNNNNNNNNNNNNNNNNNNNNNNNNNNNNNNNNNNNNNNNNNNNNNNNNNNNNNNNNNNNNNNNNNNNNNNNNNNNNNNNNNNNNNNNNNNNNNNNNNNNNNNNNNNNNNNNNNNNNNNNNNNNNNNNNNNNNNNUAACUAUUUUCUUUAAUUUAUUAUUUAAUUAUUUUUAUUAUAUUAACUAGACUCCUAAAAUAUAUAAAAAGAGAAUCAGUUAAUAUUUUUUUUUUGUAUUGAUCAAUUAGAAAACUCCUAAAAUAAUAUAGAAAAAUAAACCUAAAAUAGAACUCUAUUAAGGAAAUACACAAAUAAAAAUACACAAUAAUAAUGUACGAAAAUUUUAUAUUUUACCUUAAAAAGAUAAAAAAAGUAUUUUCGAGGAUUCUCACCUCAAUAAAACAACUUAUAGCAUGAUACUUGAAAGGUAAGUCCAUAUUUUCAUGUUAAUGUAAUUAUGUAAUUAAGCAAGGAGUUAAAAUGGAGGUAAUUGGACUCUUGUCUUGUUUUCUUGACAAAACUAUCACGUCCCCUUGAAAGGUAAACCACAUAUUUUUAUGUUAAUCUUACAAUUUUUUGUGGAUGAUCUAAUUAAUAUCCAUAAUAUAAAAUAUUUUCAUGUUAAUUUUAGUUAACAUUAAACACACGUGCAUUUUAUAAUAUAUGAAAGGAGAAUUAAUUAAUAUUUUUCUUUAUACUGAUCAAUUAGAAAAAUAUUUCUAAAAAAUACUCAUAAAAUGUGAGUCUAUUAAGAAAUACUUCUAUAAAUAUUGAUAUGCACGUUAAACUACUGAAGAAACCGAUUUACUUAUUGGGAAAAUUUGAUUGAUGCUCAUUUAACUUGAUUCAGUUGCAUGUCUAGCUUGGCGGAGGCUUAAUCUUCUAACCCACAGCUUCUUCACUGUUUUUGUCAACAUAAUAGAAUUUAACGUGUGUGUAUAUAUAUAUCUUCUUUGUUUUCAUUCAAGUCAUUCUUUGGGGUAAAAAUUUCCGCUCAACCAAGGAUUAUUUUCAUCAAAAGUGAAGCUUUGUGAUCACUAUUGUAGUAUUUUAUUGUAGUUUACAGGUCGUAGAUGAAUGUCAGUCAAUUUUGAGAUUUUUUGUUAGGUAAAUGUUAGGUUUAAUUGUAUUGUUUUUAUAUCUCUAUUUUGAUAAUUCUUUUUGUGUAAUGGUUAAGUUUAAUUGUAUUAUUUUGAUAGCUCUAUUAUCGUAUUAUUUUGUUAUAAUUUACAGGUGGUAUAUGAGUGUCAGACGACUUUGAGAUUUUUUUUUGUGAAGAGGUUAGAUUUAAUUAUAUUAUUUUGAUGUCUCUAUUAUCGUAUUAUUUUAUUGCAGUUACAGGUGGUAGAUGAACAUCGAUCAACUUUGACAAUUUUUUUUUGGUAAAGGUGAGAUUUAAUUAAAUAAAUUCUCCAAAAGAUGUUGAAUUUAAUUAUUGAAUUCAUCUUUAUUAUUUAAACAAAUAUCCUAUUUAGUAUAACGUUUGAACUUAAUAAAGUGAGGUACACGCGCGAGGUGCGUACACCUAAACUAGUAUAUAUAUAUAUAACUUUUUUUUUAAAAAAAAAAAAAAGAAGAAAAGGAUCUUUGGACCCAAUAAUUUAGCUCUGUAAACUGCAGACCCAUUGUCGUGAUUGAACACACACAAUUUUUCAAUAAUUUAGAUUCAAUAUUUAAAUCAAUAAAACAAUAAUUAUAAUUAUAAAUAUUUUUAAAAAGAAUAUCCAACGAAGAAAAGUUGGCAUUUAAUACCUUCUGUCUUUUUUCCCAUUUUGUUAACCAUUAAAUAUCAGUUUCUUUCCCUUCCAUUUCUAAUAAUCCUCCACCCCCCCACCCACCACACCUAAAAAUUUCUUAAUUAAAACAUAUUUAACUAAAUUAAUCUUACUAACAAUAAUAUAAUUCUAAAUCUGAUUAUUACUACUUUACGUAGUGAUUUUAUUUUAAAGUACUUCACUCAUUUCAUUUUACUUAUCAUUGACGUUACAUAUUUCUUACAAGAUUUUAAUUAGAGGAGUUUUUUUUUUAAUAAUCGUGGUAUCUGGGCCAAUUUACGUGCAACUUGAUUAAUUUCAUGGGAUAGCCAUCACGUCCAAUUAACAACAAGUAUCAUAUAACCCUAUUCAUUAAAAUUAGAACGGAUAAAAAAAAUCACCAAUUACUCCCUUCAUUUUUUUUUAUUUGCUGUUUUUGGAGUGUGUUUAUAUUUCUUUUUAAGUACUUCUCUAAUCUUUCAAGAAUAAUUUGAUCAAUGUCUUCUUAUUAUACCUCAUUCAAAUUACCAAAAUCACUAAUUAAAAAUAUCCUUUUUAGUGUAUUUAAUUACUAUUUUGAAAAAACUCACAAAAUUAAUUAAAAAUAUAUUGAUAAAGGUACUUUUAAUUUUCUAGAAUUGAGUAGUUAAGGGAUGUGCCCAUCCAAAAGAAGCAAAUAAAAAUGAAGAAAGGAAAAUUUGUCUGUUGGGAUAUUAUUAAACUAUUAGAUCACACUUUUGAGUGCUAAUUAGAGGAGCAUCUUAUUAAAUUAAUUUUAUUAAUAUUGUUUAAAUUUUUUUAAUUUAGCUACUAUUAUUACUUUAAAUUAAGAAUAGCAAAGAAAGUAUAUACUAUAAUUUUGUUCUUGAUGUAUACAAAUAAAUUGAAAUAUUUAUGGUAUAGAGAUCAAAUAAAAUGAAAAUGGAGGAAGUAUAUAAAGUGGAAAACAGUGAAUUAGUUGUCAAAUUUCAAAAUCCCUAAAAUAAACUUCCAUUGACUCUUUAUAAUUAUCCUCCUUCCUCUUUAAAUUCUCAAUUUAACUUCACUUCAUAAUUUUAUUUAUUCAUAAACUAUAAUAGUUUUUUUUUCUCUAUGAACAAUUUAUACAACAAAUGUUACUUUUUUUUCUUCACUUUGUUAUAAUCGCCAGAUCAUUAGUCAAUUUUUCUCUAUGAGUGAUUCUCAGUUUUCUUCUCUUUCUUCUUCCUCUUAUGACGGCUCCGCUUCCCCCUCCGCCGUUGCUCCGCCGCCGGUAAAUCAGUUUACUAUUUACACUUUUUUGUUAAUUUUUUUAAUUAAUUAUUCAAUUUUUUUUUAUGUUAAUUUGUGUAAUUUGUAUGUUUAUUUAUGUGAAUGUUGUAGUUGUUUUAGUUUAAUUGAUGUUUUUUUACUGGUGUCCAGGUCAGUUUUCAAGUACUUAACUAAUUUCACGAGAUACCUUACACCUUUCCCCUGCAACGUAAAGUAAAUUUUUUUUUGUAAUACUCAUAGUGUCUGUGUCAGUUUUCGAGCACAUGAUUAAUUUCACGAGAUACAUGACACCUUUCACCAAUAAAGUAUAGUGAAGUUUUUCUUUUUAAUAAUCGUAGUGUCUUUUCGAGCACCUGAUUAAUUUCACGAGAUACGGACACCUUUCACCAAAGUACAGUCUUAUUGUUUUAUAUAAUCAUAGUAUCUGGGUCAGUUUUUGAGCAUCUGAUUAAUUUCACUUGAGACCUGUCACCUUUCAUCAACAAUAGAAAGUAAAGUCUUAUUUUCUUAUAUAAUCAUAGUAUCUGGGUCAGUUUUUGAGCAUCUGAUUAAUUUCACGAGACCUGUCACCUUUCAUCAACAAUAGAAAGUAAAGUUUUUUUUUUUAAAUAAUCAUAAUGUUUGGGUCAGUUUUCGAGCAUCUGACUUAUUUUUUGAGAUACCUGACACCUUUCACCAAUAGCGUAAAGUAAAGUUUUUUUUUUCUAAUAAUCGUAGUGUUUGGGUCAGUUUUCGAGCACCUGAUUAAUUUCACGAGACACCUGACACCUUUCACCAAAGUAAAGUCUUAUUUUUUUAUAUAAUCAUAGUGUCGGGGUCAGUUUUUGUGCAUCUGAUUAAUUUCACGAGACCUGUCACCUUUCAUCAACAAUAGAAAGUAAAGUUUUUUUUUUUUUUAAUAAUCAUAGUGUUUGGGUCAACUUUCGAGCAUUUGACUUAUUUUUCGAGAUACCUGACACCUUUCAUCAGCAACAGAAAGUAAAGUUUUUUUUUAAAUAAUCAUAGUGUUUGGGUUAGUUUUCGAGCAUCUGACUUAUUUCACGAGAUAACUGAUACCUUUCACCAACAAUAGAAAGUAAAGUUUUUUUUUUUUUAAUAAUCAUAGUGUCUGGGUCAAUUUUUGACCACGUCGCUGAUUCUGACCACCUGACUGAUUGCACGGGAUUCCUGUCAUCUCCCACUAGCAACAAAAAAAGAAGUCUUUUCUUAUAACUAUAGUGUCCGGGUUAGUUUUCGAGCACCUCACUAAUUUCACGUUUACAUGCCAUCUCACACUGACAAUAGGAAAGGGAAGUUUUUUUAAAAAAUAAUUGUAGUGUCUGGGCUAAUUUUGACCACUUGAUUUAUUCCGCGGGAUGCCCAACAAAACAGGAAGCUUUUUUUUUAAUAACUGUAGUGUUGACUGAUUCCCACGGGAUUACCUGGCACUUCCCACCAUCAACCGAAGAAUGAUUUUUUUUAACAAUUGAUUGUUUAUUAGUAGUGUAAUUUUAUGCUUAUUUGGGUGAAUGUAGUGGUUGUUUUAGUUUAGAGUGAUAUUUUUACUAGUGUGAUUGUGAUGUAAAGUCUGAAUUUUGUGUUGAAUUUACAAAAAAAAAAAAGUUGAAUUUUUCACUCUGGCUGUGGAUUUUGAGUGUUGGGUAUAGUUAAAUUGCUUUGAUUUUGUCAAAUUUACUCUCUCCAUUCACUUUUACUUUCACGUUUCGCUUUUCGAGAGUCAACUGUAUGGAUUUUGUUUUCAUCGUAUUAAUAUGAGGAGGAUUGCAACUUAUAGUUUUUGAACAUCUAAAUUUUAAAUUGAAAAUAUUGAAUUAAUCUAAUUCAAUUCAGCUCUGAAGAUUAUCAAAAUUGACUCUCGUUAAGUAAAAUGUAAUAAGUAAAAGUGAAUGGAGGAAGUAUGAUUUUCACUGUGGCAGUGGAUUCUUAGUGUUGGAUUACUUUAAAAGUUAAAUUGCUUUGAUUUUGUUAAAUUUAUGUUUUUUAGCUGGUAGAUGUUAGAGGUAGUGUGAGAAUUUGUAUGCUGAAUUUGAUACUCGGAGCCUGUUUGAAUUGACUUAUUUUAAGUGCUUUUAAGUAAAAAUACUAGCUUUAAGUACUUUUGUAGCGUUUGGAUAAGAUUAUAAAAAAAUAUUUUAAGCACUUGUUGUUAAGCCAAAAUAACAAAAAUAAGCCUAUUAAAACUUGAAAGUCAUAAAUUAUAAGCUCAUCCACACAUGCUCUCGUUUAUUGUAUUCUCAUGGAUAUGAUGGUGUUGACCGGAUAAGAUGUUAAUUUGACUUAUUACUCUGUUACUGGUAGUAGAAGGAAAUGGUGUUUGUAGAAUUAGUUUAGUAGAGAAACCAUCACAUCAAAAGUUUAAAUUCUGAUUAGUUGAAAAAUGAAUUUAAGUUCACCAAAGUUACAACAACAACAACAUACCCAGUGUAUUCCCACAAGAGUGGGGUCUGGGGAGGGCAAGAUGUACGUAGUCCAUACCGCUACCUCCGAGGAAGUAGAGAGGCUGUGAAUACACUGGGGAGGGUAAGUUCACCAAAGUUGUGAAAGUUAUAUUAAAAAUUGGAAUGUUUCAAACAUUUUGUACAUCUCGAAGGAAGCCUUGGAGCAAUUAGUAAGGUUGUUGUCAUGUGACCAGGAGGUCACGAGUUCAACCCGUGGAAAGAGUCUCUUGCAGAAAUGCAAGGUAAGACUACGUACAAUACAAUAGAAUCUUGUGGUCUGGCCCUUCCAUGGACCCUACGCAUAGCCGGGGCUCUAGUGGUAUUCUCAUUGAUAUAUAUGAUGGUGUUGACUGGAACUGAGUUUAAGAUGUUAAUUUGAUUAACUACUAUAUUACUGGCAGUGGAAUGAAAUGUUUAAAUGGUGCUUUGGAAAAUUAUUUUAAUGGAGAAAUCAUCACAUCAAAAGUUUGAAUUUUGAUUGGUUAAAAGUGAAUUUAAGUUCAUGAAAGUUGUGAAAAUUAUGUAAAAAAUUUGAAUGGUUCAAACAUUUUGGACAUUUCGGAAAGGAAGAAUCAGACUAGUAUGUGUAUCAUUACUCAAACUUUCACUACUGAUUCUUCAUUGCUUACUAUGUAUGUCAAGUUGUUUGACAAUCAAAAUUCAUUAUUGUGCUUGUGAUGUCUGGUGUAAAUUUUGUGAAUUAUGUGAUGAAUUUGCAACUUUAUUUGUAGUGCGGUACAUAGUUGGCUGUGUAUUUAGAGUGUUGGAUUAUUUGGAUUUUAGUUUCUUUAGUUUGUGUGUCAAUUCAGAGUGUGAGUUGCUUUAAGUGUCUCAAAUUCUAAAGAAAAUAGACAGUGGAUGCAAGUUCUUGAAGUAGAAAUUCAACAUUGCUUUAGUUCUCUUCUUGUGUGGUAUGAUUUUCUUUUAAGAUUUUGUUGCUGAAGUUGAGUUAGAUUUAUACGUUAGGAUACAGUACUCCCCCUCUGUUACCAUUUACAUUUUGGGACGUUUCAAAAGGUUUGAUACCAUCCCACUCUGUACAAUUUCCAAGAUUUUUAAUUUUUUUAACUAUUCAUGUAUUAAACUUUUAUGUAAUAUGUUAUGUUUUUGUGAUAAAUCAAAAGCAAUUAAUUGUCAUACCAGGCUGAUGUUAUCCUUAAAAAAUUCUGUGCCAUUUUACAUUAAACCUUCCAAAAAAUCCUACCAAUUAUCGAUCGAUACAAGUAGAUAUGUUCACUAUGCACCAAGCGAACAAAAGAAAAGAAAGAGAACUUCUGGCUCUUGACUAGCAGACUCUCCAGUUUGACGUGAUGUUUCUCUAUCUAACUCAUGGUUCAAUCAUACUUUAAUAUAUUCUUCUCCGAGCACUAAUAAAUUACUAAAAUGAAUUUAGCAUCUUAAACCGCAUAAGAAACCACCAUAUAAACUGGAAUCGGGCUGGGAGUACUGAGUACUAACCGAGUUCUGCUUGUGUUAUGCAGACAUUGAGAAAUUUCAGAUUUUAAUUAUUAUCUAUUUUUCUAUUUGACCGCAGAAUAUGGCGGGGAAUGGUGCGAGUGGAGAUGAUAUUAGAUCCCGACCACUUAUUUCACAAGUUUCACGGCAUUGGCGAGAUGUGUUUUGGAUGGGGGUAUUCAUGCUGCAUCUACUAUUGGUAGGCGUGGCACUUGCAAUAAUGGGGUUUAACAGGUUUAGGGAAAAGGAUAGGCUCAAAAUUGAUAGAUUCACGCAAAUGAUCCUUGAGAAUCAGCCUGGUUUGACUGAGGACUUUUGGCCUUUGUAUGCCGUGGCUGGUGCAGUGGGAACAGCUCUGGCAUGGGCUUGGUUGGUUUUGCUUGGUUCAAGUGCUAAUAAUAUGAUGAAGUUCUCGGUUCACAUCUUGACAACAUAUCUUGCUGUGAUCAGUGUGCUGUGUUUCUGGCAGAAGCAAUUUUUCUGGGGUGUUGCAUUUGCUGUUGGUGCAGCAUUGCAGUUUUUGUACGUAAUAUCAGUCAUAGACAGGUAUAGCUUGAAACAAUCAUGAUUUUUUAAAAAUAAGCAAACAGAAAAGAAUCUAGCUUUUAUGUUUUUAUUGGCUUCUAUCCGAGUUUAAUUCUCUUUGACAAAAUAUCUAAUCUUUAUCCAUCUUGGCCUAGUCUUUCUUUUUUUAAACGAAGUGAAUAUGCAACUCGUUACCCAAACUUACUUUCUAAAACGCCAGCUUGGAGAAAGUUGUGUUAUUGUGGGAUUGUAUAAAGUGAGAACUUUACAAAGUUUUUCCUUACAUAUAAAGGGAAAACAGCGGUUUCUUUAUAUGCAUAUUUUGAAGGCCAUCUACCGUUUGUAAUGUACAUGUCUGUCUUCUGCUGGAGCAUCUGCAGAUUAGUUUUAUUGAAAGAAAUCGUAUCUGGAGUCAGUUCCGUUAUCCUGAUUUUAAAUGAAAUCAGGUUCAAAGUCUAUAGUAAUACAACAAUCAUGAAGUUUUUAGGAUAGAAAGUUAUCCUGCCAUUUGAAAGGAGGUUGCUUUCCCUGAAGAUAAGAUUGGGGUAGUUUUACAGAUGGGUACUCAAACUUUUACUUUAGUGCCAAAGUUACUAAAUUUUUCUUAUAAAGAAAAAGUCACUCAACUUUACUUAAGUAUCACGAAAGUCACUAAACUAUUUUUUGUAACACUUAAGUCACUUGACUUUGCCCAAGUAUAAUAGGACAUGUCUCGUUUACUUCCUCCUAGUGACAUUUAGUGUUAUGAAACAUUGGAUGGCUUUAUUGUUACAAAAAAUAGUUUAGUGAUUUUUGUGAUAUUUUGGUAACAGUUGAGUAACUUAACUUACUGAAAAAUAGUUUAGUAAUUUUUGUGCUAUAAACUUUAAACUAAAAGUUGAUUGACCAUCUAUAAAAUUAACCCUUAAAAAUUUCUAGUUCAUGCAAAGUUACAUUUGACAGGUCUGUACUUUCAUUCUCCGAAAUAAAAUGCCACAUCAUGAUAAGCACCUUUUUAGUUUGCCACAUCCAUGAUGUUCUUUUAUAUUUUUAAAUUGUAGUGACCUCCCUUGAGGUAAUAUGCAUUAAAUGGUACAAAAAAUGGAUGUAUUUCAUGAAAUUACUUGUCAGUGAAGAAAUUAAAAAGUCUGAAGGAGACCUUGAAGAAAAGAACCAUACGAUUUGAUUCCUUUAUAUUUGACCAUAUUCCCUUUUAGUAACUUCUAGGAUAGUUUAGGUUGGCAAUUAAAAAAAUUAUAGGUUUGAAUCGUGAGGCAAAUAAAAGCCUGUCAUUAAGUGGAAAAGUCCUCCAAGUUUCGAACCAUGCACCACUGACCCUUGAAGGUUUCUCGGUUAUCAAAAAAAUUUGAUGGCCUCAUAAGCUUUAAAGCUAUGGAGAGGUUUGUGUAAAUUCUCCUAAACUCAGGAAGCGUAGUGUAUAAGGAGGAGGCUAAGGCUCAGAAAGCUUAUCAAUUCAGUGGUCGAGACAAUUUUUACCAGGUAAGGAACUGUUGAAUAAGUUUUUUCAGAAAAGGGCAGCCCUGUGCACUAAAGCUCCUGCUAUGCGCGGUGUCCAGGGCCGAGCCGGGCCAGAAGGGUCUAUUGUACGUAGCCUUACCUUGUAUUCUGCAAGAGGCUGUUUUCACGGCUUGAAUGUGUGAGCUCCUAGUCACAUAGCAGCAGCUUUACUAGUUACUCCAAGGCUCCUAUUCUGUUACAUAAGUUUCAGUUUUGUGAAAAUAUUUCUUUCCCCCAAUUUUGCAGACUUCCAUUUACCAUGUUGGUUUUACAAAGAGGUGUGAAGAUGGUGUGUAGCCUUCCUGAAGUUAUGGGAGUCUCAUGUGCAUUCAUGCUGGUCAUGCUUUCAUGGCUAGUACUUUGGUCUUUUGGAGUAGCUGGUGUUGUAGCACUUAGUAUUGGUGAUGGUGGUCGCUGGUGGCUUCUUGUGGUGAGCUGGCAAGUUUUUGCUCUUCAUUUGAUCUGGUUUUAGGGUUUAGUCACUAUCAAAUUUAUAUUGAUCAUGUUGCCAAGCGCAUGAGCUGUUGAUUGCUUGUGUUUUGUACAGGUAUUCUGUGUGAGUCUGUUUUGGACUGGUGCGGUUCUGUGUAACAUUGUUCAUGUAAUAGUGUCGGGCAUGGUGUUUCUCGUUCUCAUUCAUGGUGGUCGACAAGCAACCUCAAUGCCUCCCAAACCAUUGAAGAAAUCCUUACGCUAUGCUGUUACAACCUCAUUUGGCAGCAUCUGCUACGGAUCACUUUUUACAGCUGCCAUCCGGACAUUACGGUGGAAGGUUGGUCAAUCUGUUCUUGUCCAAUCGUCCAUUAUAUUAACUUCUCACAUGAAAAGUAAAAUUUUUUCUUAGUCUCUUACAUAUUGCUUAACUGCACGUAUGACAGUUAGGAUUGACAAGCGGUUUUGUGUUAUGCAGAUUAGAGGAGUCAGAUCAAAGAUUGGCAAGAAUGAGUGUUUGCUUUGCUGCGUCGAUUUCCUAUUUCAUUUGGUUGAGACCUUAGUCCGUUUCUUCAAUAAAUAUGCUUAUGUCCAGGUAGUUUGUUAAUAAUUUUAGUGUCAUAUCUUUUGUCCACUGAUGUCGUGGUUGAUUCUUCAACAUAUUUGAAAAAUAUGCCCCUACAAAUGGGACACUUUCAUGAAGGUGUUAAAAAGAAGAUAAUGACAAUCUAGUUAACAUACGUUAACAGACUUAGAUUCACUUAUUUUCAGCCAGGACUUUCAAAAGGAUUUAAAAUAUAAAGAAGUAAACAUGUGAAGAAGCCAAGGAAUUCAAUAUCUACUAAUAUACUUUGAAAAUAAUUUUGACAACUUAACAUUCCAGCGAAGGGGAUUCAAUAUCUACGAAUAUACUGUGCCCCUGCCUACUUCUCCUUUGCAUCUUAUGUAGUGGUACUUCCCUUUUACUCAUAUUGAAAGAGACUGAGUGGAAAUCCUCUCUUAAUACAGAGAUCAAUAGUCUCCGAUUGGGUUGAGAGUAGCUGCUGCUUUGAUAUUGCUGUCUCCAGUGAGCUUGUUUUUGUUUUUUCCUGUAGUAUUCGUUGUAACAUCAUUUGUUUGAUUUAUGUCCAAAGGGAUGACUGGGUGGUUUAGGCAUAGGAGUAAUGAAUGCAGAUCCAACAUUCACAUUCCAGCCACAAUAUACAUCAUGAGCUUUCUCUAUAUUUGAGGACCAGGACCAACAACUGUACCUGUGGAUUGUAGCAGGACGUAUGAGUUGAGAUUUGUGCAAAUUGGCUUUGAUAUUGCUUUAAUAAAGGAAUCUUUCAAUUGAGUUAUAGUAUUUGGUUGUAGUCUAGGAUUUGUUAAAUAGAAGAUGUGUUUGCCAAGUGUGUGCUAACUCUUUGUUAAAUCUUCUUUUUCUUCUCCUCUUCCCUAUCUCUGUGUUUAGUGUGAUCCACUUACAUUUAUUCAAUUUAACACAUGACAAGCUAGUGAUGAAGUCUCGAGUAUGUUUUAUAUUCUGGCAAUUAGACGUGUAAGUAUUGCAUUCAUGGAUGAUAAUAAAUCUUUGGAGUAGCUAGAGAGCGACACAGGUUAGAAGUUACAUCUGAAGUAUUUAUCCCACUUAGGGGUGAUACAGGGAUUUUAAUGAAACAUGUGAUGUAAAGUGGCACAUGCACUAAUCAGUUAUUUCUUUGGGUAACUAAUUUGUUGGUUUUGGUCCAUUGCUGCGCAUAAAAAUAUAAGAAAUUUUGAAUUGUAGUGAAUAUUUGAAAAUUUCGCCGGAAGCAGAUGUCAAUUAGUUACUGAAUUUGAUGCUAUAUUUCAAACAUACUCCUUGCAGAUUGCAGUUUAUGGUAAAAACUUUAAUCGCUCUGCAAGAGAUGCCUGGGAGUUGUUCCAAUCAACUGGGGUUGAAGCACUUAUUGCCUAUGACUGCUCAGGUGCUGUUAUAUUGAUGGGAACUCUUGUGGGUGGGCUGGUAGCCGGAACCUGUGCAGGAGUUUGGACAAGGAUCAAGCAUCCUGACAGAGUGAUGAUGGUCGGUUCUACGUCCAUGUUGAUGGGAAUGAUCUUGGUAAGUCAUAGUCAGCAACCGCACCUCCCGUAUUACUUUUAAUGUCUGACAGUGAUUGCCUCUUUUUUCUCUUCAAAUUGUCUGAAAUAACUCCCUGUGCACAUAUCAAUCAAUGCUUUUGUAUUUGUGGAGAAAGCAGUUCAAUUAAUCUUAAAAUAGCUGUAUAAAUUGACAAGUGACCCUAGAUCAAUGCAGAGAGCCGUGUGUAUGACCUAACGAUUGAUAAAGUGGUUGAAAGUCAUGAGACACCGAAGUUCAAAUUCCAAUAGUGACAAAAACUAGGUGAUUUCUUUCCAUCGGUCCGAGCCUUGAUAGGAGACUUAUCGGUACCUGUGUUGGUGGGAUGUAGUACUCAACGAGAUAGUCGAGAUGCGAGAGACACCACAGGUCAAACCAAUUAUUAUAAAAUACAACAACAUUACCCAGCGUAGUCCCACAAAGUGGGGUAUGGGGAGGGUAGAUCACACACAGACCUUGCCCCUACCUCAAGAGGUAGAUAGGUUAUUCCAAUAGAACCCUCAGCUCCAGAAAAAAAAAGCCCAAAACCAAUGAUAAAAAGCAAUGAUUAUUAGUUGCCAAGUUAGUUGCCUAGAUCACCAAUACACACUAUUUGAAACUUAAGCUUGUUUCCGAUAAGAUGGUCGACGCGAAAAAUGUUGGAGAUCCUUGUGGCUCACACCUCUCACGCCAGGACUCAGAGUCUUCCCUAUUAUUUAUGACAUACGAUAUUGGUUUUCAGGUCGGACUGGCUACAGUUGUGGUGGAAAGCGCGGUGACAUCCAUAUAUAUCUGUUUCGCGGAAGAUCCUGUGUUAAUACAAAGAUGGGAUGCGGAGUUUUUCAACAAGAUGUCGGAGAUGCUGCAUCAACGAUUACAACACAGAAGUUCACGGGCAACACAAGUAUUGACCAGCAGAUUCGACAGCCAAACGCAAGAAACUGCCGUCUGAAUUCCUCACUUUUAGAACAUUCAUGUCUUAUCUCUUUGUCUUCAUGUAUUAGUUUUUUGAUUUUGUCAAUAGGUAUGUAAUGUAGAUUAGAUACAAUCCAUUCUGGUCUAUUUCCCUUCUCAAAGGGGAAGGGAAAAGCCUCAGUUUAAUUAUAUCCCCAAUAGUUUUGUCUUUUUUUACUUCUAAAAUUUGAAUUUAUUAGGUUUUUAGAGUGGUUGGAGAACUUUUGAAGUUUGUCCUUCACAAUUGUAUUUGUAUUUGUAUUUGUAACUUAAGGUAUUAUUUGUUUCUUUUUAAGGUUAAAGAUGUUUGAAUGUGAAUAUAUAAGACUCUUUUCUUUGUGGAUUGUUCAUCAGUUUGUCUUAUUUAAAAGUUUAGUAAAUGUAAAAUUUAGAUACAUAAAUAAGUAAACUUUAUGUAUGUGUGUGUCGGCGGGGGUGUGGUGGGGUGGGGGGGCAUGGACAAUUUAUUUGGAGGAACAUUUUUUUUAGUUUGUUAAAGAUGGAGCAUUCCACCCCUCGUAUCUUUAUAAUAUUUUAUUAGAUUUGGAUAUAUGCUCGUAAGAUAUCAUUUUCUUUUCGUACUUAUCGAACAUUAGAAAUUAGUAAGAAUACUUUCCUCCCCGCCAAACACAUCCAUACAAGCUUCUAAAAUCACAAUUAAUAUAGUGUAGCAAAAUUUAUUUGUUUUGUGAGGCACAAUCUUAUAUCUAGUUAGAGGUAAUUAAUGAUCCUCAUCCUGAGAUGAGAGGGAAGGUCAAUUUCACGCGAAUUAGGUGGAUCUUGAACCUGUGCUUACACUCCACAACAAAACGGAGUUGUGGAGAGAAAGCACGGAUAUAUAUUAGAGCUAGCCAGAGCAAUCAGAUUUUAAGGUUCAAUACCCCUUAAGUUCUGGGGACAUUGUAUAUUGGGAGUUGUAUACAUAAUGAAUAGAUUACCUUUUUCUGCUUUACAGGGAAAGACUCCUUUCGAAGUUUUCCAUGGUCAUCUCCCUACUUUCACUCAUUUAAGAACACUAGGUUGCUUGUGCUUUGCCAAGAAGCUUCUUCCAGGGGAUAAGUUAGAUGCGAGAGCAAUCCCCGCAGUUUAUAUGGGGUAUUCUGCAGUAACUAAAGGUUAUGUUUUGUAUAGCUUAGUUACUCACACCUUUCUCAUGUCAAGAGAUGUGUUGUUUAAGGAAAAUGUUUUUCUUUUCCAAACUAAGACUCUUUCUACUCCUAUAUUUUUGGACUUUUCUACUGAUCCUUUUAUUCCAUCCUCUCAAAACUCAGUACAGGUUGAUGAACUGUUGCCUCAUUCUCCUAUUGAGGCUGAUCAUGAUGCUACUGUUGACCACUUGCCUGCAGCACCUGUGCCUGUUGAUGCUUAUGACACAACUCAUGUGGCUAUUGAUAUGCCUAUUGAGGUUGUUCCUAGACGGCCCACAAGGACCAAGAAGCAACCUACUUGGAUGACUGAUUAUGUCUCCAAUAGUGCUUCUGCAAGCACUCCAUAUUCACUCUCUCAGGUGUUAAGUCAUGCUCAUCUUUCACUUGCUUAUCAACACUAUUUGACUGUCUUUUCUUGUGUUACUGAGCCCAAGACAUAUAAGGAAGCUUGUUCUGAUCCUAAGUGGAUUAAGGCAAUGCAAGAAGAAAUUCUUGCACUUGAAGACAAUCAUACUUGGAAGUUAGUUCCUCUGCCUCCAGGGAGGCAUCCUAUUGGAUGUAAAAGGGUUUACAAGGUGAAAUUUAAAGCUAAUGGUGAAGUAGAAAGAUACACAACUAGAUUGGUUGCUAAGGACUAUAACUAAAGAGAGGGUCUUGAUUAUCAAGAUACUUUUUCACCUGUGGAGAAAAUUGUUACUGUCAGAAGUGUAUUAUCGAUUGCCGCAGCUUCGGAAUGGCAUAUCCAUCAAAUAGAUGUAUAUAAUGCCUUCCUGUAAGUCGAUCUCUUUGAUGAGGUUUACAUGACUUUGCUUGAAGGAUUUUCUAGCCAGGGGAAGUCUUAAGGACUGGUUUGCAGGCUAGGUAAAUCCCUGUAUGGUCUUAAACAGGCAAGCAGACAAUGGAAUGUGAAACUUACAGAUGCACUGGUUGCUUCAGGAUUCAUACAAAGUAAACUAGACCACUCAUUGUUUAUAAGAAGACAUAAUGAGAAAAUUGUAGUCAUUUUGAUUUAUGUUGAUGAUAUGAUAAUAGCAGGGAAUGACUUAAAGUUAAUUGAGCAAACCAAGAAGGAGCUACAUGCCAAAUUCAAGAUUAAAGACCUAGAAACUCUAAAGUACUUUCUUGGAAUAGAAUUCAGCAGGUCUAAUAGAGGAAUAUUGAUGAAUCAACGAAAAUAUACUUUAGAAAUGAUAGAGGAAACCGGUCUUACUAGAGCAAAGCCCUUAUGGACACCAUUGGAGAACAACAUGAGACUAAUUACUAGAGAAAUGGAUGAAAUAGCAGGGGUAGAAGAUGAUCCAGCAUUGGAAGAUAUGGGAUCAUAUCAGAGAUUGAUUGGUAGAUUGUUUUACCUGACUUUAACAAGACCAAACAUAUGUUUUGCCAUGCAUACACUAAGUCAGUUUUUACAAGAACCAAAGAGAUAUCACAUGGAAAAAGCACUAAGGGUGGUAAGAUACAUAAGAAGACAAGCUGCAAUGGGAAUAUUGAUGAGUAACAAAAAACAAAACAGGCUGAUAGCAUAUUGUGAUGCUGAAUGGGCAACAUGCCCAAACACUAGGAAAUCUGUGACAAGUUUCCUAGUUAAACAUGGUGAUUCUCUGAUAUCUUGGAAGUCCAAGAAACAAACAACCAUUUUAAGAAGCUCAGCGGAGUCAGAAUACAAGAAUAUGGCUUCUGCAGUCCCAGAGAUAGUGUAGAUCACAGGAGUGUACAAAGAACUAGGAGAAGACCUGGAGUUGCCAGUAGAACUCUAUUGCGACAGUAAGGCCGUCUUAUAAAUAACAGCAAACCCAGUAUAUUAUGAGAGGACAAAGCACAUCGAAAUAGAUUGUCACUUCAUUAGGGAGAAGAUUAGAUUAAUUAAACCAUUAUUCUUAAGAACACAUGAGCAACAAGCAGAUAUUUUAACAAAACGGUUGAUUAGAUCACAACAUGAAUAUUUGGAUUCCAAGCUGGGUAUUUUGGAUGUGUUCAUACCUUCCAGCUUGAGGGGUAGUAAUGGAACAGGAGCUGUAACUUGAUUGUAUUGUACAGCUGGCACAAGAGUUAGUUAAUAUAGAUUUGACUAAUUGGUGAUUAGUUAGUAAUCUAGUUGAUUAGUUAGUGAUGUACAACUGUCAAUAGUGUGAGAAUGUGGCAUGUAUAUAAGGGAGAAGAAUGUAUUCAUUCUAGAUAGUUCAAUACAGAGACGGUUAUUAUUUUGUUCAGCAUGAGUUAGGGAAUUAAUUUCCUCUCUUUUUCUCUCUUACUCUCUAUCUUCUCUCUUAGCUGAUAGAACACAAAUUCUGUUUAGCUUCAAAAAUGCAAUAUACUUUGAUAUGCUCCUCUCUGGUGAUCAAAAAGUUUGCUUGUUGAUUGGCAAUUCAGUUCAUAUAAGUUAGGAAUAUAACUCACUUUCAAGUUAUCCCAAACUAUUGAUGACUCGGGUUCUAAAUCGACAUGUCAAUCAAAGGCAUUGGUCGUAAUAUAUGUGUGGUGGUCACAUAGUGAUAGCUAAUGAUUGUGGCUUGUGUUUGUUGUGCGGCAAUAAUAAUAAAUAGAGUGAUGGUGAUAAAUGAACAAUACCUUAAUAAUUUCGAAAUUUGUUUAAGAUCUUAAUGAAUUACACGUUAUAAAAGAAAGAAAAAUAUUAUAAUACUGUAUAUCAAUCAACAACACAAGACCAAUCCAUAGUCACAACUCACAAACAUCAACAAUUUUUGUCCAAUCUAUAUAUGACCAUGUAGUUAGUUCCCUUUGUUAAAUAAAUCCUCAAAAUGCGUUCUAUCUUAAUUAAGCCUUUAUAUAACUGUCAGAACUUUACCAAUAAGGACAAGAAAAAAAGGAAAAAGUCAUUAAAACCACCUUAAACUAUAUCCGAAAAGUCGAAGACACACUUAAACUAUUGAAGUGACCUAAUACACACCUAUACUACCGAAAAGUGAAUUUAAUUCCACCCCGACGCACAUUCAACCAGUCACAUAGUAGGAGGUGCUUUACACUCGCCCGCCACUUCAGCAUCAUGUCAGAAAUUUUAUAUUUUUUUUUCAUUCUUUUCUUUUAUUAAUUAUAUUUUACACUAAUUAAUUCCUAAUUAAUCAUUAAAAUCCUCCAAUAAUUAUAUCUUCUUCAUCAAUAAACCACCCCACCCUCUAAGAACAACUUUUUUUCUCUCUAUAUUUCAUCUCUCGGUUACAACUAGGUUGAAUAAGCUCUUUAAGGUCUAAAAUGAUUGUUUUGUUCAAUCUUCCCAUAGUUAAUAAAUAUUGUUUAUGUGCCCAAUGACAUAAAUGACCAAAAGUAAGCAAGUGGUCGGAAAACGACCAACUAAUCCAUGGCCAUCACUGUUCAGCUCUCAAAGUUUCAACACCUAGAGGGGUUGUUCCCAAGCGUAAUUGAGCAGCAGCUUCUAGGACAGGAUCACCGAUAGCAAAUAAGCAGACUCGUUCUUAUCAUAAGUACGGAAGAACGGGAAUCAUAAAAAUCCAACCAAAAGAAAAAAGGAAAGAAGUGCCGAACAACCAUUCCAUACAAUUAUUCAAGUAAAAAGUAAACUUAUAAGGAGACAAGCAGGAUUAUCUAUUUAAAAUUUUCAUCUCCAUCUCCAUCAAUAAACCACCCCACCUCCCCAUCUCUCAUCUCACCGAAAACACUAUAUACGUUGUCAGUCGUCCACCACCAUCACCACUUAUUCUUUUCUUUUCACCACCAAUAGCAAAUCCAACAUCACACACACUUCAAUUUCUUCUUCUUCUUCUUCUUUGCAAUCCACCACCAUUAUCAUUAUCGAGUUUUUCAUCUUCAUCACCUUCAAUUUUUUUUGGUUCAUCACCCACCACUAACAAACCCGAUGAGAUUUCCUCAUCAAAAAAAAAAAUUUCCCUUGUAAUUGAUUAUAUUUAACUUGUAAUGAUUUCUUUUAAUAAAGUGGAUAUAUUUUUUUUUUUUUGUGAAAAGAAAAAAUAAAAAUAAAAUCUGAAGGUUUAUAAAGAUAUAUAUGAAGGCUUGUAAUGAUAUUGAGAGAAAAGGGGUGAGAGAUAAGUUAAAUUUUCUCUAAAGAUAUAUUAGUUUGUAGUUUAUGGUGAAAAUGGUGUUGUUGGGUACUAUUAAGAAAAAAGAAAGGGAAGUAAUGAAGAUAGAGCAAAGAAGAAUUUAAAAACGUAAAAAAGGUGUCAAAAUAAUAAAAUAAAUGGAACAAAUUACAAUAAACGCGCUAGCUUCAAAUUUAAGUGUGUAUGUCACUUCAGCUUGUAGGGUGUAAUUAUGUUCACUUUUUGGUAGUAUAAUUGUGUAUUAGGUCACUUCAAAAGUUUAAGUGUGUCUUCAACUUUUCAGAUAUAGUUUAAGAUGAUUUUGAUGACUUUUCUCCAAUAAAAAAUAUUGUGUUCAUCCCAUUACAUUAUUUUUUAUAAAAAAGUAAUAUAUAUAUAUAUAUAUAUAUAUUCUUGUGGGAACUAAAUUAGUGAACAAGGAAGCAAAUGGGCUUCUAAUGGGAAAAGAUGGAUCCCUUUAAUUUUCUAGUCCAAAACAAACUUGCUUGAAUUUUCCCAAUCAAAUAUGGACCACAGUUGAACAAUUGCUGACCAAACAGAUAAAACUUGUCAUAAAAAUCACCUUAAACUAUACUUGAAAAAUCGAAGAUACAUUUAAACUAUUGAAGUGAUCCAAUACACUUCUAUACUAUCGAAAAAUGAAUUUAAUUUCACCCCGACGCACAUUCAACCAGUCACAUAAUGGGAGGUGCUUUACACUCGCCCGCCACAUCAGCGCCACGUCAACGCCAUGUCAGAAAUCUUAUAAAUUUUAUUUUUUUAAUUCUUUUUUUUCUUUUAUUAGUUAUAUUUUUCACUAAUUAAUUCCUAAUUAACCAUUAAAAUCUUCCAAUAAUUAUAUCUUCUUCAUCAAUAAACCACCCCACCCUCUCCAUCUCUCAUCUCAUCGGAAACACCAUAUACGUGGUCAACUGGCUACCACAAUCACCGCUUAUUCUUUUCUCUUCACUACCAAUAGUAAAUCCACCAUCACACCACUGUAAUUUCUUCUUCUUUGCAAUUCACCACCGUUAUCAUUAUCGAGUUUUUCUUCUUUGUCACCUUCAAUUUCUUUUUGUUCAUCACCCACCACUAACAAAACCGUCAUCAAUAUCUACACAAUUACUUUUCUUUAAAACCUCAUUCUCUUUUAUUUUAAUUUUAUUGGUGAUUUUUUUUUUCUCAGAGUUUUAUAGAGUUGGAGAAAUUAGAUUAAUAAAUCGAUCAGUAAGUUGGUGAAAAUUUUAAAUUUAUCGUUAAUAUAAUAGUUAUCUUUAAUUUUAACGUUAAUUUAUGAGAUUUUAGCAGAAAUAAAAAGAAGAAGAAAAAGAUUGAACAAGUAGGAUAAAUGAAUACCACAUUGAGUUUGCCAAAAAAAAAUUCUUGAUAAAGAAUAAUGAAAAAUUUAUAUUUCCCUGAUGAGAUAUCGAUUCCUCAUCAAAAGGUAUUUUUUUUCCUUGUAAUUGAUUAUAUUUAACUUGUAAUAAUUUCUUUUAAUAAAGUGGGUAUAAAUUUUUUUUUUUUGUGAAAAGAAAGUAAAAAUAAAAUUUGAAGGUUUGUAAGAUAUAUAUGAAGGUCUGUUAUGAUAUUGAGAGAAAGGGAGUGAGAGAUAAGUUAAAUUCUCUCUAAGGAUAUGUUGAGUUUGUAGUUUAUGGUGAAAAUGGUGUUGUUGGGUAUACUAUUAGAAAAAAAAAGAAAGGGAAGUGAUGAAGACAGGGUAAAGAAAGAAUUUAAAAGGGUAAAAAAGGUGUGAAGUAAUAAAAUAAAAGGAACAAAUUGUAAUAAACGAGCCUAUUUCGCUUUAUCUUUAUUUUUUAUGCCACAUUAGCUUGUAGGGCGAAACUAAGUUCAUUUUUCAAUAGUAUAGGUGUGUAUUAGGUCACUUCAGUAAUUUAAGUGUGUUUUCGAUUUUUCGAAUAUAAUUUAAGGUGAUUUUAAUAACUUUUCCCGACUUAUAAAUGACAAAAUUGCUAAUGAAAAGACAGCUUAAAAAGUGACAAUUGACCAAUAUAAUAAUGGGCAAAUAACAUAAAUCUCAAUAAUUUAGAGUUUAAUUACAAAAAAAAAUCAACAUUUACAUAGUUAUUGAAAAUCUCAAUUUUUGGGUCUGUCGAGAUACAUAUUAGCUCUUGAUAUAUAUAUUUUUUUAUUUUGAGCCUAUUGAAAUACAUAAUACAUCCAACAAAAAUACAGAUUUUCCUCGUAAAAAUACGUAAUUAGCUCCCAAUAUAUAUUUUUUAAAAUUUUGAAUCUAUCAAGAUACAUAAUUAGCUCCAUGAUUCAUCCAAGGAAGACAUAUAAUUAGUUAGGAUUUCUGUAAUUAUUUUAUAAGAAUAAAAUUUGUAUAAAUAUAAUAAGUUAAAGGUAUAUAUUCCUAUAAUAUAACACAAGAAGUUGGUAAAUAUAUAUAUAAAAAAAGUGUAACUAAUGAAGCUCUUCCAACUUGCUGAAAAUUAUUGUGAGCAAGUCAUUAACAAAAUGAGAAUUGAAAAUGGUAUAGUAACAUCAUUGUAUAUAAAUUCAUAAGUGGGCAAAAACAAAAGUAUUUUAUUACUCUCUUUAGUUCAAUUUAUAAUUUGAUUUUGACUUGACAUGAAACUAAAGAAAGUAAAAAAAUAAAUUAAAUUUUAUGAUGUAAAAUUAAAAAAAAUAUAAAAUAUAUCAAAUAUUCUUUAAUUUAUGAUUAUAAAAUAUCAUGUGAAAUAUUAGAAUUAAAAAAUUUGCUAAAAAUGAAAAAGACAGAUUAAAAAUGAAAUAAGGCAAAUAAAAAAACCGAAGGGAGUAACAUUUUUUCUCAUCAACAAAAAAGUAUAAUUCCAAAACAACCUCUCUACCUCUUGAUAUGAUCUUCGUACGCUAUAUCAUUUCUAUAACUUAUUUUUUGUUGAAUAUGUUGUUAUUGCAAUAAAAGAAGUAUAGUAGGAUGAAAAUGACAUAAUAUAAAAAUGUGUCAUUUAAUUUCACCUCAACCGAUACCUACAUCCUCCAACUUCGGACAUCACAAGUAGGCAUUUAAACUUAUAAAGUUGAACAAAUAGACUCAUGCUCCUUAUAUGACAUAUACCCGUAGGACACAUCUAGGACAUCGAAGAUACACGUAUCUAUUCGUUUUAAUUUUAUACAAGUUUAAGUAUUUACUUGUAUGAAUUCAAAAUUGAAGUAUAUGAAUAUCAGUUGAUGUUAAGUUAAAUGAUACGUUUAUGUAUUAUGUUAAUUUUGGACAUUACAGAUGAACGCUUAAACAUGUAUAAAAUUAAAUAAGUAAACUCAUGCAUUCUAUAUGAGAUGCAUAUACCUAUAGGACACCUUGUAGGGCGUCAAAAGUACAUGUAUCUAUUUAUUCACCUUUAUAUAAAAUUUAAAUAUCUAUUUAUAUAUAUUUAAAGUUGAAGUAUAUAAAUAUCAGUUGAUAUUAAGUUAAAAAAAAGUACAUUUAUGUAUUAUGUUUAAGAAAAUUGAAGAGGUCAAGUGAUGUAUAGAUAAGGAAAAUAAAGACAAGAUAAAGCCAAAGUAGAGAAAAGAUUCACAAUCCAGAAAAAGGCAUUGUGUCAGUUUUAUUAAUUGCACCAAAAGCAAAAUAAGGGCAACUAUGGGCCAUUUUACUUAUUAGUAUUAUCCAACUUGCUACACAUGCUUGCUAGUUGCUUCCAAGCAAAUUAAACAUAUAUCCCUUCUUUUAUUUAUUACACAUCCUAUCCUUUAUUUAAUUCUCCAACUCCCACAUUUUUAUGAAGUAAUGAAAUGUUUCGUGUUCGAGCUUUGAGUAUGAAAAAAUUUUAAAUAGGGUGUGGGCAGUGACGGAGACAUCUUUGCUUUAGGUGAUUCAUCAGAAUCUCCUUCAACGAAAAAUUAUACCGUUUUUAUACUAUUUUUACAUGUUUAAAAAUAUUUUUUAUGUAUAUAUAGUAGAUGUUGAAUUUCCUUCGACUAAUUUGUAUAUAUACUUGUGAACUCCAUCAGUGAACAUCCUGGCUCCGCCGCCGAGUAUGGGGUAUGUAUUUUAUGUUAUAAGUGAACUAACUUUGAUAUUUAAAUGAUGAAGAAUAGAAAGAAUCGAAGGGUUCGUUUAGAGAUAGAGCUGGGAUUUGAACGCUGAGGGCCUUUAAGUUUUAGGAUAGGAUAGUGAUAUCAGGAAUUAGUAAUUAGAUUUUACACUAAUUUUGGCCAAACACAUAGGUAGGUAUGUUUUUAGCUCCGCCCCUGAGUCUAUCAUUCUCGAGUUUCGAAAGCUAUGACUGAUCUAUAAGAGUUGACUCAAAAUGAAUUUUUCGAUCACCCCCGCACCCCCCAAAAAAAAUAGACCUUAUAAGAAGUAUAUUUUUUUUUAUAUAGAUUCUACACGACCAAAUGAAAUUAUUUUGAUAUGUACAUCUCAAAUACUAAAUAAUUAUACAAGAGAGUUUCUCCUUCUAUCACAUUUACUUAACGUACUCGUUUUUUUAAGUGUUGACACUUUUAUUUUAAAUUAGAAAUAAUUUUAUUUAUUUUUUAAUUUUAAUCUUUGAUGAAAUUAUUCAUAACCAUAAAAGUGCUAUCAUAUUAUCAAAGAUCACAAGUUUAAUUUCUUUUGAUGUAUGUACUGCAUAUUUUGUGGCGAAUUAAAUAUUGUUACAUAAAUGAAGUAAAGGAUUAAAUAAUUACACCAAAGUAAAAUUAAAUGGAAAAUUCUAAAAAGCUUUUCAAUCACAUCACCAUCGCAUCAUCUUUUGUGCCCUAAAUAUUCUGAAUAAUAUUUAAUUACUACUCCCUAUAUAUUUUAAAUUACUAGUAUAAACUUUUCAACACAUUAUUUAAUACUCCAUCAAUACAACUUCCCAAGACCUAGUGCUAUUGUCAUCUAACAAAUUUCAAUUAAAUGAAUGAGCAUUUAAUUAACUUCAUAUAAAAAAAAGUAAUGUAUUAAGAAUGACUUAUAAUUAAGUCAUAUAAACAUAAAUAUUUGAAGGAGGGGGAAUUAAGAAGGAUAGAUCAAGAAGAAUGACUUAUAAUUAAGUCAAUAAAAAAAUAAUGUAUGAGAUACUUUAAGCGAAUUUCACGACUUAAAAAAAUUAUUGAAUCCAACCUCGUUGAGAAAAAUUAUUUUUUAUGAACUCUCAUUUCGAAUAACGCAUUAUAAUCAAUAUAUAAAAAGCAAAUACAGGAUUAUAAUCAAUAUAUAAAAAGCAAAUACAGUAAUAAUUAAUAAAGAAGGCAUGUCGAAAAUAAUACUACCUCCGUUUUAUAUUAGUUGAUCCCUAUUAACUUGGCACACUCAUUGAGAAAAUAAUAAUUAUGGAUUUAUUUUAUCAAAUUAACCUUAUUAAUUAUGCUUUGAAAAUAUAAAUUUGAAUAAAUAUACUUUGUUUAGUCAUUUAAUGUUAAGGAUAAUAUUGAAAUAACAUAAUAAAAUUCUCUUGAUUUCAUCAAAGGAACAACUAAAUUUAAACUAAUAUUUUUUAAAAGAGGAUCAACUAAAAUAAAAUGGAGGAAAUAAUAAAUACUAAUAAUCUAUUUAAAUUAUAAAUUACUAUAUUCACCCAUAUUUUAUUGAAAAAAAAAAGAGGAAAAUAGAAAGGAAGAAUAAGGUGAUACACAUUUGUUUUUUUAACCAGAAAAUGACAAAUCACUUAUUAUUAUUAUUAUUAUUAUUAUUAUUAUUAUUUUUUACCAUAUAGUAAGAAAAGAACCUUACUUUUUGUUUGUUAGUAGAAAGAGAAAGUGAAUUUUCCAGAUUUACUUUCUCAACGUGCAAUUUUGUCAUAAUAUCUAUUAUUGGUAAUUUUACGUACUUACACUUUCAGUUUUACUUACAGUAAAAACCAUUAUAACACGUAACAAACAAUUUUCAAUAAAAGCCUGCAAUAUAUAUCAGAGUUUCUGCAGAAAAAACUGCAAACAUAAGUAACCUUUCUAUACACAAUAAUAAUAAUAAUAAUAAUAAUAAUAAUAAUAAUAAUAAUAAUAAUAAUGAAAUACUCAGACAGAACUAAAGUAUCUGUACUGAACAACAUUGUAUAAUCAACUUUUUUAAUUUUGAUCCGAUAUUCAAUAUUUAUAUUGAAAUUUAGAAUGCAUUUGGAUAUGUGUAGAGAAACUUGUGUUGAGAGUAAAAUGCUAAUAACUUCUCGUGUAUCCAUGAGUCCUAAAUUCUGAAUCUGUCACUGAUCUAAACCUGAUAAAAUGAUUAUCAUUUAAUUAGAAAGUCACAGGUUUAGGUCGUGAAAACGACCUCUAUCAGAAAUGUAAGAUAAAUUUGCGUAUAAUAGAUCCUUUUCCAGACUUCACACGUAAUUAGUCAAUAGUAUUCAUGAAUCUGUAAAAUGAUUUUGAAAUAAGCAGUUAAUAUAGAGGAUAUAAAUUAUAAUAGAGAAUAUAUUUUAUUUUUUUCUUAAUAUGUUCAUGAAAUAAAAAUAAAAAAUUAUUUUUAAUAUCAUAUACAAGUAAAAAUAAACGAAACGAGAUGUAUAACUGAUGAUAUUAAAACAGAGACAAAGUACUUGCAUGUGCUAGCUAUAGCUAGGCCUUGAUGGUAUUCUUUGUCUUGAAAAGUACACCAUUAUAUUAAAUAUAAAUAUUAUUAUUAUUAUUAUUAUUUUUUUUAACUUCAAGAUGAAAUGUAUAACACUGUUUUCAUAUCCAAAUUAAGGUCAGAGAAUCCUAUAAGUAAUAAUUAAUGAAUACUGAAUAUUGGUACAUCAUGAUAUAAUUAGCAAUUUGAAUAAUGAUAUGAAAUCAAAUUCUAUUGGUAUUAAUUAGAAUUAUUAGUAGAACUAUGUCUAAUAACUACUUUCUCCGUCCCAUUUUACUUGUUCCAAAUUGGGAUGGCACAACAAUUAAGAAAAAUAACAAAUAACAUGGCUAGUUUACCAAAGUACCCCUAUUAAAUGACGUUUAUAUUUUAAUUUAAAGAAAAUGUAAUUUAUGCAAAGGGUAAAACAUGGAAAGAAAAGUUUGUCUUAUCUUGAUAAGUAAAAUGAGACAAGUAAAAUGGGACAUCAACUUAGCUGAUUUGGAACGGAUAAAAUGAAAUGGAGGAAGUAUAAUGAAAAGUUAUAACGUUUUUCUUAUUAUAUAUACCUAGAUAAAUUUUUACAAAUUAUUAUCUCUUACUUCUAGUAAUUUUUCACUAGUACCAUUGCAAUUUUAGCAUGUGGGUUCUAUUGAUUAACCCAUUUUAUGAAUAGAAUAUAUUUGUCUAUUUGUUACGUUUAUUAUAUAUACAUAAAAUAAAUUUAUCACGUGAUUAUACUGCGACAAAAAUAUAACUUAAUUACAAUAAAAAACACUCGAAAAAGUUGUGCUACCAGCCACGACACAAUCAAAUGCGUCAUGACUAACUGAUAAUUUUACCAUAGUUCACGAGUUAUUAUUUUUAUUUCUUAGUAGAUUUUUUCACUAAUUACCAUAACGAUUUUAGCAUUUGGGUUUUAUCUCAUAACCCAUUUUAUGGCCGAAAUAUAUUGGUCUAUUUGUUACGUUUAUAAUACACACAUAAAAUAAAUUUGUCACGUGAUUAUGGUGCUGCAAAAAUACAACCUCAUUACAACUCAAAAGACCCGAAAGAGUUAUACCACAACACAACUAAAUGCGUCAUAACUGACUGACAAUUUUAUCAUAGUUCACGAGAUUAUCUCUUAUUUCUUAGAUUUUUUUUCACUAAUAUCAUAUCAAUUUUAACAUGUUUGUUACGUUUAUUAUAUAUACAUAAAAUAAACUUAUUACGUGAUUAUGCUGCUACAAAAAUACAACUUCAUUACAAAUCACAACCACAUACGUCAUGAUUAAGUGACAAUUUUACCAUAAUUCACGAGUUAUUAUCUCUUAAAUUUUUUCACUAAUAUCAUAUCAAUUUGAGCAUGUGGAUUUUAUCCAUAACCUAUUUUUUGACUAAAUUAUAGUUGGCCUAUUUGUUACGUAAUAAAAAUGUUGGAAUCUGUAAAGGUGUUUACUACGUAUAAAAAAGAUUUUAUUGGGAAUCUAAAAUGCUCAAAUGGCAGGAGGGAGGGGUCAAUUUUACAAUAAUGAAAAAAGCUAAGAGUGGCUAUAUCUGAAAUUCAGACUUUAUAUUAAAUUACUAUGUGUGCUAUUUUAAUAAAAAACGUACUGAUACGCAAUCCUUUGUUCAAAAAUAUUGCUUUCAAGAUUUCCUCUUAGGAUCAAUUUGAUCAUAAAAUCAAAAAAAUAUUCAUUUUAUUUAAUAUUUUUAAAAUUAAUAAUAAAGUUGGAGUUAUGUUUGAUCAUAAUAUUUUGAAAGUUAAAAAUUUAUAAAAAAAUGAAUUAUUUUAUGAAAAUUAAAAAUUAGAUCUUUUUAUUAAAAAUAAAUUAAAUAGUCCAUAAAGUGGAUCCAAAAAUAAUGAAAAACCCUCUUAAGAUGUUUUUUGAAAAUUUAAAUAUUAUAAAACAUAUUUUAAAAUAUUUUUGAUCAAAUAAGUAAUUCGAAACAAAGUUCAAACGUAUUCGAAAAUAUUAUGAAUAAACGCCGGCUCAAUACUACUAGUAGAGUAAUAUUGGUUGUUUUGGUAAAUGAGAUAAUAUGUGAUAUUUUGAAAUAAGUUUGUAAUAUUUUUUUCGUUUAUUUGUAUUUGUUCAUCAUAUUAAAAUUAGAUGUUCAAUAAUAAUACUUGAGUUAUUUGAAAAAUCAAUCAAUAAAUUUAUUAUUUUAUGUUUAUUUUUUACUCUUACCGCUAACUAUACUAUUAAUUACCCGUUGCAUUUCUUGACGUAUCAAAUUCAUUAAUUAUAAAAGGUGAUAUAUAUACCUACAUAUAUAUAUAUAUAUUAUUUAUUGCUUUUAUUAUUUAUUUAUCAGUACAGUGUGUCAAACCAAUUAUAGUCUAGUAAAGCAAAAAAAAAAGGAAUAGUAUUUAAUGUUUAGGAAUCGUUUGAUAGGAGGGAUAAAUUAUGAUAUUCUAAAAUUAAAUCUUAAUAGAAACUAUACUUUUUUUAGUUGGCAAAACUUUUUUCUAGACUUAAAUUAUAAAAUAUUAAACUUAAUCUUAUUUAUUAUUUGAUUAUUUUACUUUAAAUCGAAAAAUUAGUUUGAAGAAUAUAAUAUAAUCUCAAAAUAAUUUAAUUCACGUGUCAAACGAGCUCCCUUAUAAGAGUAGUUUUUUUCUUUCUUUCUUAAGUUACUUCACUUUCUUUUUUUUUUUUUCUUAUUUCUUUCACCACCUUUCUUUAAACAGCACGAAGAAAAAUAGAGACAAAUUUUUUGAGAAAGAAGAAUUUUUUUAUUUGGUGUUGAGAAAAUAGAGGAGAAAAAUGCAAGCUUACAAAGCAGCAGUAGUACCAAAUGUUACACUUAAUAAUAAUAAUAGUAGUGGUAACGCUAAUACUAUGUAUUGCCAUUCAACUUAUUAUCUCAGGUAGUAAUAUAUUUCUCUUAUUCUUUUUCAGUUUUUUUUUUUUUUUUCAUGUUUUUGAUUUUUUUGUGCAUGUUUAUGUUUCUUGUUUUUUAAGUACAUGUGUUAGUUAAGUGGUUAAAAAGAUUCAAUUUCUUACAUAUUUUUGUGGGGUUUAAGUUUUCUUGAUUUUUAAGUUUUUGUAUUAGUAAAAGGCUUAUAAAGGGCUUCAUUUGUGCAUGUUUAUGGAGUUUUAAGUUCUUGUGUUAGUAAAGGGCUUAAAUUUUUUUUAUUUUUGGAAUGUUUUGAACUUGACUUGUGCAUGUUUAUAAUUAUGGGACUUAAGUUUUCUUGAUUUUAGUAAGUUUUUGUAUGUGUAAUGGGCUUAAAAAGAUUCAUUUUUUACAUGUUUUUGUGGGGUUUAUGUUUCUUGGUUUCUAGUGAUUGUAUGUGUAAAGGGGUUUGAAAAGGUUCUACUUAUAAAUGUUUGGAGCUUGAUUUGUGCAUAUUUAAGGUGUUUUAGGUUCUUGUAUGAGUAAAUGGCUUAAAAAGAUUCAUUUUUUUCAAAUCUUUUCAGCUUGAUUUUAGCAUGUUUAUGGAGUUUCAAGUUCUUGUAUCAGUGAAGGGCUUAAAAAGAUUCAUUUUUUUACAUGUUUUCAGCUAGUAUCCGCUUUUGGGGGAAAUUACACUUGUUAUACAUGGUUAAAAUUAUUUUUAUGCUUAAUAUAGUAUAUAUUAACCCCUUUCGGCUUCUUCGCGUGUUUACUUCAUAGUUUAAAACCCCUCAGUGAAAAACUUUCUUAGGUUUUUAAGUUCUUGUGUGUUAAAAGAGCUUAAAGAUUCAUUUUUUUUUAUGUAUAUAUAAAGUAGAUGUUCUCGACCUCUUUAGAGGUAGUGGUAUGGACUGUGUACACUCUGCCUCCCCAGAUCCCACUAUGUGGGAAUAUACUGGGUUUGUUGUUGUUGUAUAUAUAAAGUAGAUGUUGAACCCCUUUAGCUUCUUCUUGUGUUUACUUCGUAUUUUGAAAUUUGUCGGUGAAAAUUCUGGCUCAACCACUAUUUAAGUUUUCUUGGUUUUUAAGUUCUUGUGUGUUAAAGGGCUUAAAGAUUUAAUUUUUAUGUGUUUGGUUGUUAUAUAGAGGUGAUGAAGCUAAUAGAAAUGCGGCGCGCUUUGCGGAUAUUGGAGAACUUGAGCAAUCUGCAGGAUUCACUCAAGAAGAUGCUGUUGAUUUAAGCAGAAGUAUCAUUUCUUUAAAUAUCUCAUUUGUUUUAUUUCUUUGAUUGUGACCUUAAAAAGU